rnacentral:lncRNA from 1 species
ACCGGCAGUCUUUAUAUUCUGGAAGGUUAUACAAUGACCGGUGAAAUCGGACGUCCCUCGUCCGUUACGGAGUUGAAGUCAACUUGUUUGGAGCGGAGGCAACUUGGUCAUAGGAGGGAAAAAAAGUAUGACUGUUUCAUUGAAGAGAGGUUCUCUUUUAGAUGCAGGUUUUGAAAAGUUAGGGCACUGUGUUCGUGAAAAUCAGACGCGGGUUAGUUUUGAUCUGGGAGUGUACAAGUCGAAGGCUAGAAGUCUUCCAAUUUCUAAGCACAAAUUCGACUCAGUUAAUUCCCUGCAUAGUUCAAGAUAGGCUCGUGGCGGGCUUUGGCAAAGAUGGUGUUGUGAAAAUAUGAGUCAAGGUGGAGAUUUGUUAAAUAUGACUCCUAUUUUCAGUCAAAUUUGAAAAAUAGUCUUUCAGUUAAACUCUGUUUACUUGUUUCAAUCAAACACUGAUUAGUUUAGAUUAUUUUACUAUUAUUUGACUUAUGAAUUUAGCCUAUAAAUAGGCUCUUUUACAACCUUAGAAAACACCCAUUAGAGAUUAGAACUCAUAACACAUUUAGAGAAUUUUGUGUUUACGUUUUGUGGGUUCUUUAUUUUCGGGUUUUCGGGGUUUAGUUUUUAUCUCCAUCUUUUGUACUCUUCGUUCUUUUUCCAUUAUAAUAAAAUUAUCUUUGCCCGUGGUUUUUUAUCCUCUUUGGAGGGGUUUUUCCACGUUAAAUUUGUGUGUUCAAUUUCUCAAUUUAUUCUGCUAUUUUCUUAUUCGUUGCUUAAUCGGGUCGAAAUCCUAACAAUAAGUCUAUUAUAAAUGGAAACAGGAAACGAGAAAAUUAUCUAUUUACUUUAAGUAUUUUUUUAUUUAAUUAUUUUAUAACAUGAAUAAAAUUAUAAAACCUAUAUGAAAGAUGAAAAUCGUGUUUAUUAUAUUAAUUUUAGUAUUUUAUCGAGUGGGCUAUGUCUGUGUCUUUCUUCUUUAUUGUGUUUAAGAUUAUGAUAGGAGUAAUGAAGUGCUAUCUUCCAUUGUGGUAAAUAAAAUUUGCAGCAUUUUUAUUAAUUUUUUAUUAAUGAUAAGAAUUCGAUCGAAUAGAGUGAAAAAAUUUAAAUUAAUUAAAUUAAUAAGUGAAAAAAAUUAAAUUAAUUAAAUUAAUAAAUUAUAUUUAUUAUCUUAACCCGAUUUAAUUUUUUAUUAUCUUGCUACCACCAUCAACCAUAAAUCUAACACAAAACAAACAUUAGAGUUUAAACUUUCAUAUUUCGGAUUGGUCGGCCACAUAGCUUUAAUCAGUAAUGAUAUAAGAUUUAACAAAAACUUUGUCUUAACAAACGAAAGUAUAAAAUUUGAAUGAUUUAGAGGAAGUUAGAUUGAUGUAAUCGAAUUAAUGAUGAUGUUCCGAAUGAACUUGGAAAGUGUUCUUAUUCAAGUUUGUGAUAUUCAUUUUAUAUGGGAAUAGAAAUUUAAUAUUUUUAUUUACAAAUUGUUAUUGUUAGUGUAAUUUUUGUGAAUUUUGUGUUUGACGCUAUUAUUAUGAGAUGUGUUGAUACACGGUAUUAACGGAAGUGGAGAAAGAGGGAGAGGGUGUCCUAGUGAAAAUGUAGAGAAGAAGAUGAUGAUAAUGUUUGGAGUGUCGUCCCCCUAAAGAGGGUCUUUAGAAAUACAUAUAAGGGGAUUUUUCGAGUUAGACUACCGGUUAGGUUAUGAUAUAUUUUAUUAUAAUUGUACAACAAGAUAAAAAAGCAUUUAACUCAUUUUUAUUUUAUGAAAAUAUUUAUUAAUUGUAUAUUGGUUUCGUGAUUUUUUUAAUAAAUGUUGAAUUUAUUUUUGUACUAUGUCUCAAUUAAUCUCAUAUUUCGCAUAAUUUAUCAUAGUUACUCUAUUUAUUAAGUUAUUAUUUGAUAAAUGAAGAUAAUUAAUUGCUCAAAAGUUAAGGGAUAAUAUAAUUUUUGGCUCCUGAACUUGACAACCGAUGGAUAUACUAGUUCGAACAAAGGAUUUGAACCAAUUGCAUCGGAAACUACUCAAAACUAGGACAAAAAUAAGUAGCCACUACAGGAAAACAGACUUUUAGCGGCGCUUUUUUUAGCCUUUAGCGGCGCUUUUAGGCGCCACUAAAACUUUUAGCUGCGUUUUCUAAAACGCCGCAAAAAACGCUGCUAUAGGUAACGCCACAAAAAUUUGUGGCGUUUAUUGGAAAAAAAUGCCACUAAAGGUCAAGGCUUUUAGCGGCGUUUGUGGGAAAAGCGCCGCUAAAGGUCAAGGCUUUUAGCGGCGCUUGUGGAAAAAGCACCGCUAAAGGUCAAGGCUUUUAGCAGAGCUUUUUUUACAAACGCCGCUAAAUUUGGCAGAUUUGUAAUAUUUUUUUACACCAAUAUCCAGCCCUUCCUGCAUUAAAAUCCAACCAAAUACAACAAAUAUAAUAUAAAAUGCAGCCAAAAACAGCAAAUUUAACAUAAAAAAUACAACCAAAAACAUUAAUUAAUGAUACUUCAAAUUUAACUAAAGAUAUAUGAUAUAAUUAAUAAAUAAAGUAUAAUUUAAAAUAUUUUUACAAUAAUGUUAAACGUGACAAAACUUAAAAACAUUCUUACAAUAAGAAAACUAAUGUCUAAGACGGCGGCUUUUGCGAUUGUUGAAACAUAUGCAUCAUCUGCUGAAGCUGUAGCUGGAGGUCAUUGUACUUUUUGCUCUGUUCUGCUACCAUCGCUCGUGCCCUGCCUCUCUCGCUGCAGCCGCUGCCUCCCUCUCUGCUGCCUCCGCUCUAAGUUGUUGCUGGAGUUCUUCAUAUUUUCGUUGAACCUCGGCAAUUUGCUCAACCGUGUUCGCUUGCAUCUGAGCUAUCUGGUCUCUUAACCUCUGAACUUCAGCUUGAGCUUGACUUCCGGAAGGCAUGUAUUGCUGGGAGCCGGAUCCAAAAUAUUGGGUCGGGGUAAUAACAGAUCCUUGAAAUCGAACCCGACCGUACCUUUCAGGACCCAAAACUUCAGUGAUAAUUCUGUUAUCAAUGUUCUCAAGAUUAACAAAACUAUCACUCGAAGCAAUCGCUUCAUAUUCCGCCUUCUUCUCCUUUAGUUUCUCCUAAAAAAUCAAUUAAAGAGUUAGAAACGAAAUAUAUAAUAAAAAGAAAUGCAACAUAACUUAACAUUUUUUAAAACUACUAAUGAUGAAUUGAAUUAAACAAUAAUAAUUAAAGAUUAUAAAUAUUUAGAAUAAAUCAAAUAUUAUUAAGUGAAUAUACCAUAAUUUCUCCAGCUUCGGAUGUAAUAGGAAAUCCAUCUUUCUUCCUAUGCGUAAUCUCAAAAAGCUGAAGGCGUCCAACUUUUUGUCCAGAUUUGACUUCCUACAGUAUAGUAGUAAGAAUAUUAUUUAAUAAUAGAAAGUUAUUAAUAUUUGAAAGAAUUAAUAAAUUCAUAAUACCUCGGCCUCAGCUACAGAAGCAAAACUUCUCGACCCUGCCGUGUGCGUGAAUUUUUGUUUUUGCCUGCUGCUUGUUCCAACUCGCUCACGGUCCUACAUAAUAAAAUUAUUAUUACGUAUAUAGUAAACACUAUAUAUAAGAGUUUGGAAAUACGCAAUACCUCUCCUUUCUUUGAAUUCCAAAAUCUAACCGCAUCUUCCCAUUGAUACCUCAGUAUUCCUGGCGGAACAUUUCUCAGUUUUUCCUCGAGGAUUAUGUCUUUCUUAAAAUAUUGUUUCUUUAAAGUGCUUUUAUUGUCUCUCCAUCUUUUACCCAAUGCCUUCUUGAUAUAAUCAUCAGAGACUUCUAAAGCAAAUCUCUCCUAAAAAAACAUAAGUUUAGAAUGUAAAUAUAAAUGAAACUUAAACCAAAGUAUUAUAAAUUGCAUUCACAUUUUGUUACCUUAAUAUUAGUGAGAGCCUGGUUUUUGUUGCUAUCAGGCAUGUGAUGCCAUGAUUCGUAGUUGAUGGGCAACAUAUUUGCAUUUCGUGCUAAAAUGCCCAAAUAGCCUGCUAAAAGUCGAGCUUCAGAUCCAACAGGCUGACCAUGAGUAUUUCUACUUACUUUAACAUGCUCGACAGGAUCUAAGUCGUAUAAAUCUCUAAGUAGCGUAUGUCCUCGAACUCUGCGCGUCCCACCACUUUUAGCUAAAAAAUGAUAUACUAUUAUUAUAUUAAAAUUGACAAAUAAUUCAAUAAUAAAAGUCAACACAUGUAAAAUGAACAUAAUAUUACUUUGAAAUUCUUCAGGCUCAUCAAGUGUCUCCGGCACAUUCGAAGAUCCAACAACUGUCUGAUGUUCACUAUUUCUUUCUUCCGAAUUUGGAGUAUUCUGGACAAUACUUAAAUCUCGUACUCUUCUUCUACGCAUUUUUCCUGCAAUACAAAUAAAAUAAUUAAAGUUUUAGUAACAAAUUACAACAAUAGUAGUACAUAUAAAAUAGUUAAAUUAUAUAACAUGACAAAAAUUAAAAUUAUAAUAUUACAUAUAAUUAAAAAAUUGUAAAAUCUUACUACAUCAUUAUUCGUAAAUAUCUUCAUCCACAUCAUGUCGAACCCAUUGAUGUUGUGUAACACCCCUAAACCGUGGCUGUCACCGGGAUCGAACACGAGGUGUAAUCUGGCUUAAUUCAUCACUUAUACAGCUCAAACAAUUUAUUUUAAAACUCCCAGACAAACUGUCAAUCUGCGUUAUAGUCACUUAAAAAUUCGUAUCUUGAGUUCUGAAACUCAACAUUUAAUUCCGCAAAUUUUUCCUGAAACUAGACUCAUAUAUCUAUCUACUAAAAUUUUUCCACAAUUUUUGGUCUGUCCAAUUAGUACAGUUUAUUAGUUAAAGUCUCCCCUGUUUCAGGGUUCGACUACUCUGACCUCUGUGUAUUACGAACCAGAUAUCUAUCUGUACAGAGAUUCAAUAACUAUGCCAUUUGUCCCUAAUAAAACAAGACUCAAUAAGGAAUCUGUACAUAUAAGGUAUGGCUUCUAAUUAUCUUUGUAGAAAUUAUGGUGAAUUUCUAAAUUAGGAACAGGGGAUUCAGAAAUCGUUCUGACCCUGUUUCACAAGAUUUUAAAUAUCUCAUACAAUAUAGCUUAUAUUCUUGUUUUACUUCUUCCAUGUGAAAAUAGACUCAUCAAGCUUCGAUUCCAUAAUUUAUUCAUUAUUUUAAUUCCAUUUAUACUAUUUUUAGUGAUUUUUCAAUUUCACAUCACUACUGCUGUCUGCAUCUAUUAUUAGAGUAAAUUUUACCUAUUAGAGUAAUUUAACAAACAUAUCACCAAGUAUGAUCAUGACUAGCCAUACCAAAGGCUAAUCAUUACCAAGCAUUUCCUUACUACUCAAUAACCAUAUCAUGAGUGUAACACCGGAAAUGAUUAGCCAUGACAAACGGCAUAAUAAUCAAAUAGACUUUAACUAUUGCUUAUAACUAACUAUCAUAAAACCAAAUCCAACUUAACAUUUAUGCCAUUUUCGCAUGGCUAAAAGUAUACAUACCAAAGUUCAAACAAAACAUAAUAGCCUAUACAUGCCGAAAUGUUCUCUUAGACCAACUAAGAAGAAGAUACCAAAAAGUUGCAAGCUGGUGUGAUGACUUCGACGAUGGUCCCGAGCACACAAAAAUGGAUCAAAGGAACCUAAAUAAGUGACAAGUAAACACACCGAAUGAGUAUAUAACUCAGUAAGUCAUAAGCAUUACACUGCUGUCCAUUUAUAAAAUAUCAUAAAAGAAAACAAAUAAUGCAAGAUUAGGUACUCCAUCCAUACCGACUAUGCUAUAAUUUCACGCACAUUUAUCAUUACAUGCUCUCAACUAGCCAAGCCUCCAUUGACAUCUCGUAUGAUAUUCGAUAUGAUAUUUGAUGCAUUUCCACACAUCAUUUUAUUUUCGUUUAGAUUAUACUAAUAAUAGCAUUUCAUCUAUUCCACAAUAAUCUUAUGUUCCUAACUUCAAAUAUAAUCACCACAUAGGUUCAAGACUUACCAAGCUCAGUUCCAAAUAUAAACAUAACGUCUAUUCCUUAUGAACUCAAAAUAUCUACUCAUUCCGCUGUCCAUGAUUUACUCAAUAAAGUCGCACACUUAACGUUAAUAAUUAUUCGAAAAUAUAUAGUAAGUCCGCACACUUAGUGCUUAAUAGUCAAACUCGCACACUUAGUGCUAUACAAUUAAACUCGCACACUUAGUGCAAAUCUCAUUAUCGUAAAUGUUUAUACCCGCACACUUAGUGCCGAAAUCAACAACUCAAUACAUCUCACUUCUUUUUACAAUCGAUAAUUUUGUCACUACAUGCAUUUAUAUAUCAUCCCAUUCGGCAUAAGUACAUAAGUAUUAUGAUUAUUUAAAUCAAUACAAAAUAUAUGCUUAAUAACUUACCUUGUGUUGGGUAAAACGGUUCCAACUCGGCUACUCGAUGUUCUUUCCUUUGCCUUUGCUUGAUUCUCCUCCUUUAACUUCUUGAGCUUAAUCAAUAAAUUAACUAGUUUAACCGUCUUGCUAAAUAUUUAUAUCAAAAUAUUAAUGAUUUCAUAUCAUAGGAGAUACAUGACUAAUUCUUAUCUUCCUACCAUAUGUUUUUGAGCUAUUCGGCUAAUAACCAUAUGCUAUCACCCUACUAUCAAUAAUCCAAUCACACAUGCAUAUAUAUAUAUAUAUGGCCGAAUGUGCAAAACUUAGACUCAACAUCACCUAUGCUCUUAAUUUGAUGGCCGAAUAUGCAUACAUAUAUAUAUGAUAUCAACUAUACUAUCAUCUUUAAUUCACCUAAACACAAAAUUUCAUCUCAUGAACACUUGACCGAAUUUUUCCUAAUCUAGCAUGGCUUCACAUCUAUUUGUAACCUCCUAUAAAUCCACAUAUACCACAUUUCUACAUAAAUUUUCUUUUACUUUUCCACUACUUCCAUUCACAACAUCAAAAGCACCAUACUCUUAGCAUUUACCUCUUCCUAACCAUAUGCCAUCUAAGUACCCUUUUAGGUAGAAAAUUAACAUAUGGGUUGUAAUAAGACAUUGGCUACUAACUAGAUUUGCACAAGAAUUUAGUAAAAGUAACAUAAGUCCUACCUUAAUCAACCCCUUUUGAGUUGGCCGAAUGUCUAGAGCAUUUCUUCUUUCCUUCUCCUAACUCACGGCAAUUGCAAGAAAAGAAAGAAGAUGAAUACUCCCUCUUCCUUCCUUAUUUUAUUCAUCUUUUCUUUAAUUUAUUUUAAUUGCUAACUAAUAAAAGAAUUGCAUUGAAAUUCAACCUAGUGGAUGGGCAUCAUGGCUUGGCCGGCCACUACUUGGGUUUUUGGGCAAUUUGACAUGCAAACCCAAGUUUCCUCACUUUGUUAUUAUUUGGUCCUUACAUAUCCCCCUAUCAUAUUUUCUUAAGUUCUCAACUAAGUCAAUCACAUGAAAUUCACAUUCAUAAGUCUAAAUUAAAACAUCAAAUUUUCACACAUGCACUAAUACACAUAGAGGAUAUGCAACCAAAUUUUUAAAUAAAUUUUUGGGACUCGGUCUUGUGGCCUCGAAACCACAUUUCGACUAGGGUCGAAUUAGGACUAUCACAACUCUCCCUCACUCAAAAAUUUUCGUCCACGAAAAUCUUACCAGCGAAUAAAUUUGGAUAACGUUCUUUCACCGAAUCCUCGAGCUCCCAAGUAGCUUCUUCGACCCCAUGUUUAUGCCACAGUACCUUCACUAAUGGGAUUUUCUUAUUUCGCAAUUCUUUUACUUCACGUGUUAGAAUGCAAACUGGUUCUUCCUCGUAACUCAAAUCCAAUUGAAUUUCGAUCUCAGAUGGAGUAAUUAUGUGUGAUGGAUCGGACCUAUAUCAUCGAAGCAUCGAGACAUGAAAAACGUUAUGAAUCUUUUCAAGUUCGGGGGGUAAAAUCAAUCUAUAUGCAACUAGACCAACUCGUUCGGAUAUUUCAUACGGCCCAAUGAACCUCGGACUCAAUUUGCCCUUACGGCCAAAUCUGAGUAUCUUCUUCCAAGGCGAAACUUUUAGAAACACUUUAUCUCUCACCUGAUACUCAAUGUCUUUUCGUUUCAAAUCCGCGUAUGACUUCUGACGAUCUGAUGCUACCUUCAGACUUUCACGAAUUAUUUUUACUUUCUGCUCAGCAUCUUUAAUCAAAUCGACUCCGAAAAUUUUACUUUCACCAAGCUCGGUCCAAAACAAUGGUGUACGGCAUUUAAGACCGUACAAAGCCUCGUAAGGUGCCAUCUUAAUGCUUGAUUGAAAACUAUUGUCGUACGCGAAUUCAAUCAAAGGUAAAUACCGCUCCCAUGAACCACUAAACUCAAGGAUGCAACAUCUCAACAUAUCCUCGAGUAUCUAAAUUAUCCGUUCGGAUUGACCAUCAGUCUGUGGAUGAAAAGCGGUGCUAAAAUGCAACUUGGUACCCAAAGCUUCUUGCAAUUUCUUUCAAAAUCGCGAGGUGAAUCUCGAAUCUCUAUCCGACACAAUAGAAAUAGGUACCCCGUGUAAUCUUACAAUCUGAGAGACAUACAAUUCUGCCAAUUUAUCAAGCGAAAAAUCUGUACGGAUAGGGAUAAAGUGAGCAGUCUUUGUCAAUCUAUCAACGAUAACCCAGACCGAGUCUUUCUUAUUUUGUGUCAAUGGUAAACCAGAUACAAAAUCCAUUGUUACCCGAUCCCAUUUCCAUUCGGGUAUCAUGAUUGGCUGAAGUAAUUCCGAAGGCACUUGAUGUUCCGCUUUCACUUGUUGACAUAUCAAACACUUCGACACAAAGUCAGAGAUGUCUCGUUUCAUACCAGACCACCAAAACUGACGUUUCAAAUUAUUGUACAUUUUUGUGCUACCCGGGUGGAUAGACAUUUGGCUAUUAUGAGCCUCAUUCAAAAUCAUCGAAAUAAGUUCUGAAUUUCUUGGAACACAUAAUUGACCUUUGAAUGUCAAGCAAUCAUUGUCGUCAAUCCGAAACUCUGAUUCCUCAUUCGAAGCAUAUUCAGCUCGUUUAGCAAUCAAUUCAUCGUUGACUUUCUGGGAUUCAAAUAUUUGACGAACCCAUAAUGGUUUGGCCUUUAAUUCAGCUACUAGCACAUUUUCGGGUGAGACGGACAGGUGAACAUUCAUCGCUCUCAAAGAAAAUAACGCUUUACGACUUAAAGCAUCGGCAACCACGUUAGCUUUGCCCGGGUGAUAAUCAAUGAUAAGUUCAUAAUCUUUCAACAAUUCAAGCCAGCGUCUUUGUCGCAGAUUCAGAUCUCUUUGAGUCAUCAAAUAUUUAAGACUUUUGUGGUCCGAGUAAAUAUGACACCUUUCUCCAAACAAGUAAUGUCGCCAUAUUUUCAAGGCGAACAUUAUGGCCGCUAAUUCAAGAUCAUGGGUCGGAUAGUUUCUCUCAUGCGGCUUUAAUUGUCUCGACGCGUAAGCCACAACUCGACCUUCUUGCAUCAACACACACCCUAGCCCAAGCAAGGAUGCAUCACUAUAAAUGACAAACUCUUUACCGGACUCCGGCUGUACUAGCACUGGAGCUUCAGUUAAACAGGUUUUUAGUCGAUUGAAACUUUCCUGACAGCUUCCUGACCAUUCAAACUCAACAUCUUUUUGAAGUAGUUUCGUCAACGGUGCAACUAUCAUCGAAAAGCCUUUUACAAACCGUCGGUAGUAUCCGGCAAGUCCCAAAAAGCUCCUAACUUCAGUAACAUUCCUCGGAGGUUUCCAAUCGAGUAUGGCCGAAAUUUUGUUCGGAUCAACUCUAAUUCCCGAUGCGGAUAUGACGUGCCCCAAAAAGCUAACCUCUCUCAACCAAAAUUCGCAUUUACUGAAUUUCGCGUAUAACUGUUUGUCUAUUAAAAUCUAUAAUACUAAUCUCAAAUGCUCGGCAUGUUCAGCUUCAUCUUGGGAAUAAAUUAAAAUAUCAUCAAUAAACACAACCACAAACUGACCCAAGUAUUGUCUGAAAAUUCGAUUCAUUAAAUCCAUGAAUAUCGCAGGGGCAUUAGUAAGCCCAAACAGCAUCACUAAGAAUUCGUAGUGACCAUAUCUCGUUCUAAAAGCAAUUUUGGGUAUGUCUGAGUCUCUAACUCUCAACUGAUAAUAACCCGACCUUAAAUCUAUCUUUGAAAACACUGAGGCUCCCUUCAAUUGAUCAAACAAAUAAUCAAUACGCGGUAACGGAUAUUUAUUCUUUAUUGUUACUUUAUUCAACUGACGAUAGUCGAUGCACAACCUCAUGGUUCCAUCCUUCUUUUUCACAAACAAUACUGGUGCACCCCAUGGUGAAAAACUCGGUCGAGCAAAACCUCUAUCCGUCAAUUCUUGCAACUGAAUUUUCAAUUCCUUUAAUUCCGUUAAUGCCAUACAAUACGGGAUUAUCGAGAUUGGCGUGGUACCAGGUACAAGUUUGAUGCCAAAUUCUACCUCUCGAACAGGUGGCAACCCCGGUAACUCCUUAGGAAAAACAUCUGAAUACUCGCAAACCACCGGUACUGAUCCGAGUUUCCUUUCCGUCUUUUUGCUAUCAAAUACAUACGCAAGAUAUGUUUCACACCCCUUCCUCACAUAUCUCCGAGCGAUCAUCGAGGAUAUUGUUGCUGGCACUCCCCUUAAAUCUGUAGACUCAACUCGGACUAUCUUAUUAUUUGCACCCCUUAAGUCCGUUAGUGGUUGUGUCCUAAUAAAAAUUCCCGUAGUCGUCUUCGGUUUGUGAGUGUCCUCCCUGAACUUCUUUAUAGCUGAGAACGGAGUUCUACUCGUUGAUCUUUUACGAAAGUCUCUAGCUUCAGAUUCUGCCUUCUUUUUCUCCUUUCCAAGUUCUUCCGCCUUGCAAGCUCGUUCAACUAGUGUUACAAAUUCUUUUAUCUCUAAAAUACCCACUAGUAGCUUUAAAUCUUCAUUCAAUCCUUCCUCAAAUCUUUUGCACAUAGCAAUUUCAUCGGCUACACACUCCCGAGCAUAUCGACUGAGUCUUACGAACUCACGUUCGUAUUCAGAUACUGUCAUGCGGCCUUGCUUAAGUUACAACAAUUCCUUAUGUAACACCCCGUACCCGAGACCAUUGCCGGAGUCGAACACGAGGUGCUAACCGACUUAAUUCAUCUACUUUUACAGUCUAUUUUAAAAAUUUCCAGGCAGUUGGCUAACUGUGUCACUGUCACCUUAAAAAUCAUAUCUUCAGUUCUAAAACUAAAAAAUCUGUUUCGUAAUUUUUCCCUGAAACUAGACUCAUAUGUCCAUCUACAUAUUUUUUUAUAGAAUUUUUGGUCUAGCCAAUUAGUACAGUUUAUUAGUUAAAGUCUACCCUGUUACAGGGUGCGACUACACUGACCUUCAUGCAUUACAAUUUGGAUAUCUCCCUGUACAGGGCUUCAAUACUGAUGCCGUUUGUUUCUAUAGAAACUAGACUCAAAGAGGAAUCUAUACGUAUAUGGAAUGACUUCUAAAUGUCUGUGGUUAAUUUAAAAUGAAUUUCCAAAGUCAGAUCAGGGGAUCCAGAAACCGUUCUGACCCUGUCUCACGAAAACUUUAGCAUCUCAUAAUAUACUAUUCAUAUGAACGUUUCGUUAUGUUCCUAUGAAAAUAGAUUCAUUAAGGUUCGAUUACAUAAUUUAUUCACUAUUUAAUUCCAUUCCUACUAUAUUUAGUGAUUUUUCACAUCCACAUCACUGCUGCUGCCAGCAUCUAUUUUUAAGGUAAACUUUACCUAUUUCAUGAUCCUUCAUGGAUCAACUAGAGUUUGUCAUACAUAUAUCAAAAGUGAUCAUGAAUAACCAUUCCCAUGGCUAACCGUUGCCAACAUUUCCAUACCUCUCGACGGACAACAUACAAAACGACUAUAAUGCUAUGAUCAAAGUAUAUUUAAGCCAUUUUCGCAUGGCUAUCCAAAUUUACACAAUACCGAAGGGUUCAUGACCAACAACAAAAGGGUGGUCCUAUACAUGCCAUUUCAAAGUUCAACCAAAAGUAUACCAAAAGGAGCUUUGAUAGUGUGGGUGACUUCGACUUCAAAAUCCCGAGUCCGAUAGCUGAAGAACCAAAAUCUAUAAAACAGAGAAUCAAAGAAACGGAGUAAGCAUUAAAUGCUUAGUAAGUUUUGAGCAAAGAAUUUAGACACAACCAAAGUAUAGCAUUCAUGUAGCUAAACAGAUAAUUUCAUAUGCACAAAUUUUCAAUAUCAUACUUACUUCACAUUACCAACCCUUAUAUUCAUACACAAAGAUCAACUUAGCCAAAGGCCGGUAGCUCAUUUAUCAACUGAGCGAAUACUUAUUUGUAAGGGCUCAACUAAUUCAAAGCACAUACGAAACAUACCUCAAUGUUGGGAUGUUACAAGCGUAUUAACUGAAAUUUUUACAGCAAGAUCGUUCAUUCCCGAAUCACGUACCUUCAGAAUUUAACCGGAUAUAGCUACUCGUUCAAAUUCCUUCGGGACAUAGCCCGGUUAUAGUAACUCGCACAAAUGCCUAUGGAUCUUAGUCCGGAUAUGGUCACUUAGCACAAAGCCUUCGGGACUUAGCCCGGACAUCAUUCGAAUAACCAUGCACAUUUAACAAUAAAUCAUGACACAUUCGUAUUUCAUUUUCAUUAGCAAAACUCAAACACAAGACACUUAUCACUCUUGCAAUUUCGGCUCAAUAGCCACACACAAAGAGCAUGAUUUUGAUUUGCUUAAAACAUGAUCUAAUCAAAUCAUAAUUUAAGCUCUAUUACUCAAGAACUUACCUCGGAUGUGGUCGAGCGAUUUCGACAGCUAUUCGAUCACUUUUUUCCUUUCCCUUAUCCAACUGUGGUCCUCUAAGCUCUUGAGCUAAUUCAAACAAAUUUAACUCAUUAAAGUCUCAUUUUGCUAGCUUAUGGCCGAAUAUGACAAGGAGUUUGAUAGGUCAUAUGGCCACCUUUUAGCUCAAAUACACAAUGGUCAUACGCAUUUUUAAUCACAUCAAGCAAUUUAAUACAAUUCAUUCGAACAUCAAAAGAGAAGCUCAAGGUACUUAGCCCAUAUAUACAUUAGACAUUAGAGUCACAUAUGUACGAAAUCACGAAUCGAAUUCAACAUACUAGCUAAUAUUUCCCCUUAGCCGAAUUUUCUAAGUCAAGCUAAAGCCAUCAAUAGGCUACCUAUGGCCGAACAUACACAUAACUUAUGUACUCAUUCAUGUGGCCGAACAUACAUGUCUAUGUUGGGGCCGAUUGCAACACUUAAUACAUUCUACAAGUAUGGUCACUUGUAUUGACUAAACACCAUUUUGUUUCAAGUUCAAAACUUGGCUAAUACACACAUAUACACUAGUAAAUCAAGCACUAACAUUUGCACUUCACCUUACUACCAUUUCUCAUCCAAUAACGUGAACAACAACCAUAUUUCUCUUCUACUUCCUACCAUGGCCGAAUGCAUCACAACACCAUACCAUUUCAAUUUUGGUCAUGGUUGAACGAGGAACUUAAUGUCUCACUCAAAGAUGCUAAAAAGAAGAUUCAAGAGUCAUCAAUCCACCAUCACAUGCAUCAUUACAAGCUUCACUUUUAGCAUGCAAAUAACAUCAACACAAAUCCACCUUAGCCGAAUAUCAUCUCCAUGACAUAGUAAAGAUUUGAACCAUGGGCUAGUUAGAACUCAAGCUAACAAAAAAAAAACAUGCAUGAAUCUCAUGGCACAACAUCAAACUUACCUUAAUCUAGAUACAAGUAUGGCCGAACCUCCUCCUAAUCCUCUUCCAAACCAAACAUGAAGCAAGAACUCCUUCCUUCUUCCUUAGAAUUUUCGGCCAAGGAUGAACCAAAGGAUGAACACUUUUUUUUUUGUUUUUCUUUCCUUCAACUCACGGCAAUGGGGGGGGACAAUCACACACAUCCUUUUUUUUUUUUUGUUUCUCAUCCUACUGACACUAAUAUUUUAUUGCCCAUGCUCUUUAUUUUAUUAAUCCUUACAUAAUGCAUUACCCCAACAUGUUUAUGACAUGUUUUUAGCCAUAACAUCUUGUCCACCCAUGCUCAUGGCCGGUCACUACAUAUUAGGGGGGAAAUUGACAUGCAAGUCCUCCCUUUUGAUUACAUGCACUAUUAGGUCCUUGUAGAUUAGCCUAUCACAUUUCAAAAAUGUCACCCAUAAGUCCUUUUGACUAAAUUCACAUGCAAUUUACUAAAUCGAAGCCUAAAACUUUCACACCUUCAUAAUCACAUAUUUUAGACAAUAAAUAUCACAUUCAAAUAAUUUGGUGACUCGGUUUAGCGGUCCCAAAACCGCUUUCCGACUAGGGUCACUUUAGGGCUGUCACAACUCUCCCCCACUUAAGAAAUUUUCGUCCCCAAAAAUCUUACCGGUAAAUAGGUUUGGGUAUCGCUCUUUCAUAGAGUUCUCAGGUUCCCAAGUAGCUUCUUCGAUCCCGUGUUUGAGCCAUAACACUUUCACUAUCGGAACCCUUUUGUUUCGCAACUCUUUCACUUCACGAGCUAGGAUACGAAUCGGUUCUUCCUCAUAACUCAUAUCGGCUUGAAUUUCGACCUCGGAGGGGUUCAUUACGUGCGAAGGAUCGGAUCUGUAACGUCGAAGCAUCGAAACAUGAAAAACGUUGUGGAUUCUUUCGAGUUCAGGGGGUAAAAGCAACCUAUAUGCAACUGGGCCAACUCGUUCGGAGAUCUCAUACGGUCCAAUGAAUCUCGGACUCAAUUUGCCCUUACGGCCAAAUCUGAGUAUCUUUUUCCAAGGCGAGACCUUAAGAAACACUUUGUCUCCCACUUGAUACUCAAUAUCUCUUCGUUUUAAAUCCGCAUACGACUUCUGACGAUCUGAUGCUGCCUUCAGACUUUCACAAAUUAUUCUUACUUUCUGUUCAGCAUCUUUAAUCAAAUCCACUCCGAAAAUUUUACUUUCACCGAGCUCGGUCCAAAACAAUGGUGUACGGCAUUUACGCCCGUACAAGGCCUCGUAAGGUGCCAUCUUAAUACUUGAUUGAAAACUAUUGUUGUAAGUGAAUUCAAUCAAAGGUAAAUACCGUUCCCAUGAACCACUAAACUCGAGGAUGCAACAUCUCGACAUAUCCUCAAGUAUCUGAAUUAUCCGCUCGGAUUGACCAUCGGUUUGUGGAUGAAAAGCGGUGCUAAAAUGCAGCUUGGUACCCAAAGCUUCUUGCAAUUUCUUCCAAAAUCGCGAGGUGUAUCUCGGAUCUCUAUCCGACACGAUAGAAAUAGGUACCUCGUGUAAUCUCACAAUCUGAGAAAUAUACAAUUCAGCUAGUUUAUCCAAUGAAAAAUCCGUACGUACGGGGAUAAAGUGAGCCGACUUAGUCAGUCUAUCCACAACAACCCAAAUCGCAUCUUUCUUACUUGCCGAUACUGGCAACCCAAAUACGAAAUCCAUCGUGACUCGAUCCCAUUUCCAUUCAGGUACCAUGAUUGGCUGGAGUAAACCCGUAGGCACUUGAUGUUCCGCCUUUACUUGCUGACAUAUUAAACACUUCGAAACAAAAUCAGAAAUGUCUCGUUUCAUACCAUGCCACCAAAACUGGCAUCUCAGAUCGUUGUACAUUUUCGUACUCCCCGGGUGAAUUGACAUUCGGCUACAAUGGGCUUCGUUCAGAAUCAUCGAAAUGAGUUCUGAAUUUCUUGGAACAUACAACCGACUUCUGAACCUCAAACAAUCGUCAUCAUCAAUUUGAAAUUUGGAUUCCAUAUUCGGAACACAUUUAGCCCGUUUUGCAACCAAUUCAUCGUCGACUUUCUGAGCUUCACGAAUUUGAUGAAUCAAUAAUGGUUUGGCCUUUAAUUCAGCUACUAACACAUUGUCGGGUAGAACAGACAAGUGUACAUUCAUCGCUUGUAAAGCAAACAGUGAUUUCCGGCUUAAGGCGUCCGCAACCACAUUAGCCUUUCCCGGGUGGUAAUCAAUGACAAGCUCAUAAUCUUUCAACAACUCAAGCCAACGUCUUUGUUGCAGAUUUAAGUCUCUUUGAGUCAUCAAAUAUUUGAGACUUUUGUGAUCCGAAAAUACAUGGCACUUCUCACCAAAUAAGUAAUGUCGCCAUAUUUUCAAGGCGAAUACGAUGGCAGCUAAUUCAAGAUCAUGGGUCGGAUAAUUUUUCUCAUGUGGCUUUAAUUGUCUCGACGCAUAGGCCACAACUCGACCUUCUUGCAUCAACAUGCAACCUAACCCAAGUAGGGAGGCGUCACUAUAGAUGACAAACUCUUUGCCUGAUUCGGGCUGCACUAAAAUUGGGGCUUCAGUCAAAUAAGUUUUCAGUUGAUCAAAACUUUUCUGACAUUUUUCUGUCCAUUCGAACUUAAUAUCUUUUUGAAGUAGCUUCGUCAUGGGUGUGGCUAUCAUCGAGAAACCUUUUACAAACCGUCGGUAGUAACCGGCGAGUCCCAAAAAGCUCCGAACCUCAGUAAUAUUUCUCAGAGGCUUCCAGUUAAGUAUGGCUGAAAUUUUGCUCGGGUCAACUCGAAUACCCGAUGCGGAUACCACAUGACCCAAGAAGCUAACCUCUUUUAACCAGAACUCACACUUACUGAACUUAGCAUAUAAUUGCUUAUCCCGUAAAAUUUGCAGCACUAAUCUCAGGUGCUCAGCAUGUUAGGUCUCAUCUCUUGAAUAGACCAAGAUGUCAUCAAUGAACCCAACUACGAACCGGUCCAAAUACUGUCUGAAGAUUCGAUUCAUCAAAUCCAUAAAUACCGCAGGGGCAUUUGUGAGCCCAAACGGCAUCACUAAAAACUCGUAGUGGCCGUAUCUCAUUCUGAAAGCAGUUUUGGGUAUAUCCGAAUCUCGAAUUCGCAACUGCUAAUAACCCGAUCUUAAAUCUAUCUUUGAAAACACUGAGGCUCCCUUUAGUUGAUCAAACAAAUCAUCAAUACGCGGUAAUGGAUAUUUAUUCUUUAUCGUCACUUUAUUCAGCUGACGAUAGUAAAUGCACAACCUCAUGGUUCCGUCCUUCUUUUUCACGAACAAUACUGGUGCACCCCAAGGUGAGAAACUUGGUCGAGCGAAACCUCUAUCCGUCAACUCUUGCAACUGAGCUUUCAAUUCUUUUAACUCGGUUGGUGCCAUACGAUACGAAGCUAUCGAAAUUGGCGUAGUUCCAGGUACAAGCUCAAUACCAAACUCUACCUCCCGAACAGGUGGUAAACCCGGUAAUUCUUCAGGAAAAACAUCCGGGUAUUCACAAACCACCGGCACAGAUUUGGGUUUCUUUUCUAAUUCUUUGUCAUCAAGUACAUACGCAAGGUAUGCUUCGCACCCUUUUCUUACAUAUUUCUGGGCCAACAUUGCUGAUAUUACAGCUGGCAACCCCUUUAAGUCCGUAGACUCAACUCGGAUUAUCUCGUUAUUUGCGCACCUCAAAUCAAUAGUCUUGCUUUUGCAAUUCACAACCGCAUCAUGCACGGUCAACCAAUCCAAACCAAGAAUAACAUCAAACUCAUCAAACGGCAAAAGUAUCAAGUCUGCCGGAAAACAGGAAUCUCAAAUUACUAGGGGGCAUUUCUUACACACUUUGUCGACAAGCACGUAACGACCCAAGGGAUUUGACACCCGAAUUACGAACUCAGUAGACUCAAUAGGUAAGGUCUUACUGGAUGCUAAGGUUUCGCAUAUAUAAGAAUGAGUAGAACCAGGGUCAAUCAAAGCAAUCACAUUAGUAUCAAAGAGAGUAAAAGUACCGGUAAUAACAUCUGGCGAGGAAGCAUCCUCGCGUACGCGUAUAGCAUAAGCCCUAGCAGGAGCACGAGCCUCAAAUCUAGUCGUAGCAUCUCUAGAUCCUCUCUGACCUCCACUAGCAUUUCCCGUGUUUCUAGAUGGUCUAUCUCGAGCAGUGGUAGCACUCGGUUUCCCACUCUGAUUUACAUUCUGUUCAGACAAUCUCGGGCAAUCUUUGAUAAAGUGGUCAACUGACCCGCACUUGUAGCAGGAGCGGUCAUCGAAUCUACAACUUCCAGAAUGCCAUUUGCCACAAUACUGGCACUCCGUUCUAUCUCGACGAUCAUUUCCCACACUGGCGACCGAAGUGACUCGUGCACUCGAAAAGGGUCGAUCGCGAUCUCGUCUAGAAAAGCCCGAAGUGUCUCUAGACCGGCCUAAGCCAUCUCUAAAUUUCUUCGAUGACUGUGGGAAGGGCUUCCCCGAAGACCUCUUACGAAACUCCCUUGCUCCCGCCUGAGCUUUUCUUUUCUCCAUACUGAGCUCAUCGGCUUUCCAAGCUCGCUCGACAAGUGCCACAAAUUCUCGGAUUUCCAAAAUGCCAACAUACAACUUUAUAUCAUCAUUCAAUCCAUCCUCGAAACGUUUACACAUUACAGCUUCUGAGGAAAUGCAUUCUCGUGCGUAUCGGCUAAGCCUUACAAAAUUUCGUUCAUAGUCGGUAACCGACAUGGAACCUUGUUUAAGUUCAAGAAAUUCCUUCCGUUUUUGAUCCAUAAAUCUCUGACUGAUAUACUUUUUCUGAAACUCAGUUUGGAAAAACUCCCAAGUUACUUGCUCUCUAGGCACAACAGAAGUCAACAUAUUCCACCAAUAGUAGGCAGAAUCACUUUAGGCAAGGAGAUAGUACACUUUAGGCACUCAUCGGGUGUGCAAGAUAGCUCAUCGAGUACCCGGAUAGUGUUGUCCAACCAAAAUUCAGCUUGCUCGGCAUCAUCGCUGUCCGUAGCUUUAAAUUCAGUAGCCCCGUGUUUUCAGAUUCUGUCAACUGGGGGCUUAUUUGACCUUAUUUGGUCCGUUAUCGGAGGUAUUGUAGGUGCGGGGGUGGUAUUUGUCGGGAAUGGAGGUUGUGGAACAGCCGUAUUAGUUCGAAUGUAUUGGUUGAACCAAUCAUUCAUCACGCUAUAGAAAGCUUGUCUAGCUUCAUCAUUCGGGUUACUAGCAUUAAGUUGAGAGUCCGCCGGUGCUGUCCCUUGUGCGGGAGCAAGCGCUACACUCUCAAGAUCAUCAGCUACUGCUCGGUCGGGAUCGGGAUCCAUUACUAUAAAUAAACACAUUUGCAAAUGUCAGAAAUCACCACACUAUCAAAUAAUCACAUAAAAUGGCAUGUAUAGCUAAACCCAACGCAUUACGGUAGUCCUAGAAUCGACUAAACCGUAGCUCUGAUACCAAUAAAAUUGUAACACCCCGUACCCGAUACCGUUGCCAGAGUCGAACACGAGGUGCUAACCGACUUAAUUCAUCUACUUUUACAGUCCAUUUUAAAAAUUUCCAGGCAGUUGGCUAACUGUGUCACUGUCACCUUAAAAAUCAUAUAUUGAGUUCUAAAACUCGAAAAUCAGUUUCGUAAUUUUUCCCUAAAACUAGACUCAUAUUUCCAUCUACAUAUUUUUUUAUAGAAUUUUUGGUUGGGCCAAUUAGUACAGUUUAUUAGUUAAAGUCUCCCCUGUUACAGGGUGCGACUACAGUGACCUUCAUGCAUUACGAUUUGUAUAUCUCCCUGUACAGGGCUUCAAUACUGAUUCCGUUUGUUUCUAUAGAAACUAGACUCAAAGAGAAAUCUAUACAUAUAUGGUAUGACUUCUAAAUGUCUCUGGUUAAUUUAUAAUGAAUUUCCAAAGUCAGAUCAGGGGAUCCAGAAACCGUUCUGACCCUGUCUCACGAAAACUUUAACAUCUCAUAAUAUACUGUUCAUAUGAACAUUUCGUUACUUUCCUAUGAAAAUAGAUUCAUCAAGGUUCGAUUACAUAAUUUAUUCACUAUUUAAUUCCAUUCCUACUAUAUUUAGUAAUUUUUCACAUCCACAUCACUGCUGCUGUCAGCAUCUAUUUUUAAGGUAAACUUUACCUAUUUCAUGAUCCUUCAUGGAUCAACUAGAGUUUGUCAUACAUAUAUCAAAAGUGAUCAUGAAUAACCAUUCCCAUGGCUAACCGUUGCCAACAUUUCCAUACCUCUCGACGGACAACAUACAAAACGACUAUAAUGCUAUGAUCAAAGUAUAUUUAAGCCAUUUUCACAUGGCUAUCCAAAUUUACACAAUACCGAAGGGUUCAUGACCAACAACAAAAGGGUGGUCCUAUACAUGCCAUUUCAAAGUUCAACCAAAAGUAUACCAAAAGGAGCUUUGAUAGUGUGGGCGACUUCGACUUCAAAAUCCCGAGUCCGAUAGCUGAAGAACCAAAAUCUAUAAAACAGAGAAUCAAAGAAACGGAGUAAGCAUUAAAUGCUUAGUAAGUUUUGAGCAAAGAAUUUAGACACAACCAAAGUAUAGCAUUCAUGUAGCUAAACAGAUAAUUUCAUAUGCACAAAUUUUCAAUAUCAUACUUACUUCACAUUACCAACCCUUAUAUUCAUACACAAAGAUCAACUUAGCCAAAGGCCGGUAGCUCAUUUAUCAACUGAGCGAAUACUUAUUUGUAAGGGCUCAACUAAUUCAAAGCACAUACGAAACAUACCUCAAUGUUGGGAUGUUACAAGCGUAUUAACUGAAAUUUUUACAGCAAGAUCGUUCAUUCCCGAAUCACGUACCUUCGGAAUUUAACCGGAUAUAGCUACUCGUUCAAAUUCCUUCGGGACAUAGCCCGGUUAUAGUAACUCGCACAAAUGCCUACGGAUCUUAGUCCGGAUAUGGUCACUUAGCACAAAGCCUUCGGGACUUAGCCCGGACAUCAUUCGAAUAACCAUGCACAUUUAACAAUAAAUCAUGACACAUUCGUAUUUCAUUUUCAUUAGCAAAACUCAAACACAAGACACUUAUCACUCUUGCAAUUUCGGCUCAAUAGCCACACACAAAGAGCAUGAUUUUGAUUUGCUUAAAACAUGAUCUAAUCAAAUCAUAAUUUAAGCUCUAUUACUCAAGAACUUCCCUCGGAUGUGGUCGAGCGAUUUCGACAGCUAUUCGAUCACUUUUUUCCUUUCCCUUAUCCAACUGUGGUCCUCUAAGCUCUUGAGCUAAUUCAAACAAAUUUAACUCAUUAAAGUCUCAUUUUGCUAGCUUAUGGCCGAAUAUGACAAGGAGUUUGAUAGGUCAUAUGACCACCUUUUAGCUCAAAUACACAAUGGUCAUACGCAUUUUUAAUCACAUCAAGCAAUUUAAUACAAUUCAUUCGAACAUCAAAAGAGAAGCUCAAGGUACUUAGCCCAUAUAUACAUUAGACAUUAGAGUCACAUAUGUACGAAAUCACGAAUCGAAUUCAACAUACUAGCUAAUAUUUCCCCUUAGCCGAAUUUUCUAAGUCAAGCUAAAGCCAUCAAUAGGCUACCUAUGGCCGAACAUACACAUAACUUAUGUACUCAUUCAUGUGGCCGAACAUACAUGUCUAUGUUGGGGCCGAUUGCAACACUUAAUACAUUCUACAAGUAUGGUCACUUGUAUUGACUAAACACCAUUUUGUUUCAAGUUCAAAACUUGGCUAAUACACACAUAUACACUAGUAAAUCAAGCACUAACAUUUGCACUUCACCUUACUACCAUUUCUCAUCCAAUAACGUGAACAACAACCAUAUUUCUCUUCUACUUCCUACCAUGGCCGAAUGCAUCACAACACCAUACCAUUUCAAUUUUGGUCAUGGUUGAACGAGGAACUUAAUGUCUCACUCAAAGAUGCUAAAAAGAAGAUUCAAGAGUCAUCAAUCCACCAUCACAUGCAUCAUUACAAGCUUCACUUUUAGCAUGCAAAUAACAUCAACACAAAUCCACCUUAGCCGAAUAUCAUCUCCAUGACAUAGUAAAGAUUUGAACCAUGGGCUAGUUAGAACUCAAGCUAACAAAAAAAAACAUGCAUGAAUCUCAUGGCACAACAUCAAACUUACCUUAAUCUAGAUACAAGUAUGGCCGAACCUCCUCCUAAUCCUCUUCCAAACCAAACAUGAAGCAAGAACUCCUUCCUUCUUCCUUAGAAUUUUCGGCCAAGGAUGAACCAAAGGAUGAACACUUUUUUUUUUGUUUUUCUUUCCUUCAACUCACGGCAAUGGGGGGGACAAUCACACACAUCCUUUCUUUUUUUUUUUGUUUCUCAUCCUACUGACACUAAUAUUUUAUUGCCCAUGCUCUUUAUUUUAUUAAUCCUUACAUAAUGCAUUACCCCAACAUGUUUAUGACAUGUUUUUAGCCAUAACAUCUUGUCCACCCAUGCUCAUGGCCGGUCACUACAUAUUAGGGGGGAAAUUGACAUGCAAGUCCUCCCUUUUGAUUACAUGCACUAUUAGGUCCUUGUAGAUUAGCCUAUCACAUUUCAAAAAUGUCACCCAUAAGUCCUUUUGACUAAAUUCACAUGCAAUUUACUAAAUCGAAGCCUAAAACUUUCACACCUUCAUAAUCACAUAUUUUAGACAAUAAAUAUCACAUUCAAAUAAUUUGGUGACUCGGUUUAGCGGUCUCGAAACCGCUUUCCGACUAGGGUCACUUUAGGGCUGUCACACCUUACGCUUUUGAUCGAUGAACCGUUGGCUAAUAUUUUUUUUUUGAAACUCUGUUUGAAAGAAAUCCCAAGUAACUUAUUCCUUCGGGACUAUGGAAAUCAAGGUCCUCCACCAAUAGUAGGCUGAGUCUCGCAACAAAGAUAUAGCACACUUUAAACACUCAUCAGGUGUGCAGGACAGUUCAUCAAAAACUCGGAUGGUGUUAUCAAGCCAGAACUCGGCCCUUUCAGCAUCAUCAGUAACUACGGCUCUGAAUUCCUCGGCCCCGCGCUUCCUAAUCAAGUCUACAGGUGGUUUACUCGGCCUUACAGAAUCAGUAGUCGAUGGCAUUAUAGGCUCCUGGGGUGGAUUAUUUAAAUUCGGGAAUGGUUGGGCAGCCGGAUUAGUGCGGGCAUAUUGUGCGACCCACUCGUUCAUCAUAGUAAAGAAGGCUUAUUUUGCCCCCUCAUUUUGAUUAUUCGCAGAUGACUGAGGUUAACAGGCGGUGUCCCUUGUGCAGGAGCAGCCGCUACACUUUCAACGUCAUCCGCUAAGGUUCUCUCUAAGCCGGGAUCCGUUUACUAAUCAAAACAAAAAUUUUAGCCGUCAGAAGUCAUCACACUAUUAAACACUAACAUUAAGGCAUGUAUAGCUAUACUCAUACGUGCUAUGGUAGUCCUAGAAUCGACUAAACCAUAGCUCUGAUACCAAUAAAAUGUAACACCCCGAAACAGUGGCCGUCACCGGGAUCGAACACGAGGUGUAAUCUGGCUUAAUUCAUCACUUAUACAGCUCAAACAAUUUAUUUUAAAAGUCCUAGACAAACUGUCAAUCUGCAUUAUAGUCACUUAAAAAUUCGUAUCUUGAGUUCUGAAACUCGAAAUUUAAUUCCAAAAAUUUUUCCUAAAACUACACUCAUAUAUCUAUCUACUAAAAUUUUUCCACAAUUUUUGGUCUGUCCAAUUAGUACAGUUUAUUAGUUAAAGUCUCCCCUAUUUUAGGGUUCGACUACUCUGACCUCUGUGUAUUACGAACCAGAUAUCUAUCUGUACAGAGAUUCAAUGACUAUGUCGUUUGUCCCUAAUAAAACUAGACUCAAUAAGGAAUCUGUAACUAUAAGAUAUGACUUCUAAUUAUCUUUUUAGAAAUUAUGGUGAAUUUCUAAAUUAGGAACAGGGGAUCCAGAAAUCGUUCUGACCCUAUUUCACAAGAUUUUAAAUAUCUCAUACAAUAUAGCUCAUAUUCUUGUUUUACUUCUUCCAUGUGAAAAUAGACUCAUCAAGCUUCGAUUCCAUAACUUAUUCAUUAUUUAAUUCCAUUUAUACUAUUUUUAGUGAUUUUGUAAUUUCACAUCACUACUGCUGUCUGCAUCUAUUAUUAGAGUAAAUUUUACCUAUUAGAGUAAUUUAACAAACAUAUCACAAAGUAUGAUCAUGACUAGCCAUACCAAAGGCUAAUCAUUACCAAGCAUUUCCUUACUACUCAAUAACCAUAUCAUGAGUGUAACACCGGAAAUGAUUAGCCAUGACAAACGGCAUAAUAAUCAAAUAGACUUUAACUAUUGCUUAUAACUAACUAUCAUAAAACCAAAUCCAACUUAACAUUUAUGCCAUUUUCGCAUGGCUAAAAGUAUACAUACCAAAGUUCAAACAAAACAUAAUAGCCUAUACAUGCCGAAAUGUUCUCUUAGACCAAUUAAGAAGAAUAUACCAAAAAGUUGCAAGCUGGUGUGAUGACUUCGACGAUGGUCCCGAGCACACAAAAAUGGAUCAAAGGAACCUAAAUAAGUGACAAGUAAACACACCGAAUGAGUAUAUAACUCAGUAAGUCAUAAGCAUUACACUGCUGUCCAUUUAUAAAAUAUCAUAAAAGAAAACAAAUAAUGCAAGAUUAGGUACUCCAUCCAUACCGACUAUGCUAUAAUUUCACGCACAUUUAUCAUUACAUGCUCUCAACUAGCCAAGCCUCCAUUGACAUCUCGUAUGAUAUUCGAUAUGAUAUUUGAUGCAUUUCAACACAUCAUUUUAUUUUCGUUUAGAUUAUACUAAUAAUAGCAUUUCAUCUAUUCCACAAUAAUCUUAUGUUCCUAACUUCAAAUAUAAUCACCACGUAGGUUCAAGACUUACCAAGCUCAGUUCCAAAUAUAAACAUAACGUCUAUUCCUUAUGAACUCAAAAUAUCUACUCAUUCCGCUGUCCAUGAUUUACUCGAUAAAGUCGCACACUUAACGUUAAUAAUUAUUCGAAAAUAUAUAGUAAGUCCGCACACUUAGUGCUUAAUAGUCAAACUCGCACACUUAGUGCUAUACAAUUAAACUCGCACACUUAGUGCCAAUCUCAUUAUCGUAAAUGUUUAUACCCGCACACUUAGUGCCGAAAUCAACAACUCAAUACAUCUCACUUCUUUUUACAAUCGAUAAUUUUGUCACUACAUGCAUUUACAUAUCAUCCCAUUCGGCAUAAGUACAUAAGUAUUAUGAUUAUUUAAAUCAAUACAAAAUAUAUGCUUAAUAACUUACCUUGUGUUGGGUAAAACGGUUCCAACUCGGCUACUCGAUGUUCUUUCCUUUGCCUUUGCUUGAUUCUCCUCCUUUAACUUCUUGAGCUUAAUCAAUAAAUUAACUAGUUUAACCGUCUUGCUAAAUAUUUAUAUCAAAAUAUUAAUGAUUUCAUAUCAUAGGAGAUACAUGACUAAUUCUUAUCUUCCUACCAUAUGUUUUUGAGCUAUUCGGCUAAUAACCAUAUGCUAUCACCCUACUAUCAAUAAUCCAAUCACACAUGCAUAUAUAUAUAUAUGGCCGAAUGUGAAAAACUUAGACUCAACAUCACCUAUGCUCUUAAUUUGAUGGCCGAAUAUGCAUACAUAUAUAUAUGAUAUCAACUAUACUAUCAUCUUUAAUUCACCUAAACACAAAAUUUCAUCUCAUGAACACUUGACCGAAUUUUUCCUAAUCUAGCAUGGCUUCACAUCUAUUUGUAACCUCCUAUAAAUCCACAUAUACCACAUUUCUACAUAAAUUUUCUUUUACUUUUCCACUACUUCCAUUCACAACAUCAAAAGCACCAUACUCUUAGCAUUUACCUCUUCCUAACCAUAUGCCAUCUAAGUACCCUUUUAGGUAGAAAAUUAACAUAUGGGUUGUAAUAAGACAUUGGCUACUAACUAGAUUUUCACAAGAAUUUAGUAAAAGUAACAUAAGUCCUACCUUAAUCAACCCCUUUUGAGUUGGCCGAAUGUCUAGAGCAUUUCUUCUUUCCUUCUCCUAACUCACGGCAAUUGCAAGAAAAGAAAGAAGAUGAAUACUCCCUCUUCCUUCCUUAUUUUAUUCAUCUUUUCUUUAAUUUAUUUUAAUUGCUAACUAAUAAAAGAAUUGCAUUGAAAUUCAACCUAGUGGAUGGGCAUCAUGGCUUGGCCGGCCACUACUUGGGUUUUUGGGCAAUUUGACAUGCAAACCCAAGUUUCCUCACUUUGUUAUUAUUUGGUCCUUACAUAUCCCCCUAUCAUAUUUUCUUAAGUUCUCAACUAAGUCAAUCACAUGAAAUUCACAUUCAUAAGUCUAAAUUAAAACAUCAAAUUUUCACACAUGCACUAAUACACAUAGAGGAUAUGCAACCAAAUUUUUAAAUAAAUUUUUGGGACUCGGUCUUGUGGCCUCGAAACCACAUUCCGACUAGGGUUUAAUUAGGACUGUCACAUGUUGUGUAUUAGUACUAGGGAUAUUUUCAUCUAAGUUUUGUUCUGGAAAAGGUAAUGUUUCUGAUCUUUCGACGAUGUCAUCUCUACUUCCAUUACCCAUUUCAAACAAGUCUCUAGGGGUGUUCCGGAGUACAACAUACCAACCCUCAUCAGUUGGAUCUUUCGAAUAAAAAACUUAUUUCACUUGAGAGGAAAAUACAUAUGGCUCGUCCAUCAAUUGUUGUCCAGUGUGAAUCAAGCGAGAGAAAUUCAACAUUGUAAAACCAAAUUGAUCUUCUUUAAUUCCUCGAGCAGUAUUAACAUCAGCCCAAUCACACUGAAAUAAGACAACUUUCCAUCUGCCAUAGUAAUCCAACUCAAUAAUGUCGGUAAUAAGUCCGUAAUACUCCACAUUACCCUCAACCAGAUUACUGUCCCUAGCACUAGCAUAACUUGUAAUUGAAGAAUUAACAACAACUCCACAAUUUUGAGUUCUCCUCAUUCUCUCACGAUACUUUGUAUGAAAUCCGUAUCCAUUGAUGAGGAAGGCACUAUAUCUUUUUAUUAUUCUAUUCGAACCUUGGGAAAGCCAUUUAACUUCGUCAUUGACGUCCUUUCCACUCCGAACCUAUUGAAUCGAAAGUAAAUUGAAUAAUUAACUAAAUUUCGGGAUUAUAUGUAACUUAUUAACUAUAGUUACAUACCGUUUGACUUAACCAUUCAUGAAAAGAUUCUGUGAAUAACUUAUUAAUCUCUCGAUGUUGCAAUCUUCGAGAGCGUGCACGAGAUCUCAAAAUUUGUUUGUACUCACUAUGUUAAAAACAAGUGUAUUUGGUUAGAAGAUAAACAAAUCAAAACGAAAAAUACGUGAGGAAAUUUUAGAACUUACUUGCGUAACGGUUCAACUAAAACGUGGUGAAAAAGUACAUAUCGAUGUGCUUGUAUCCAAGAUAUAUCAUCUAAUUCUGCAAUUUCAACUUUGCCGAUUAGUUCUCCAUAACUUUGGAAUAAAUAAGUUUCGGCCAAGUUAUGAUCAUUGAGCCCAACAUUUCUAUUUGGUCUAUUCAAUCGUGUUUCAACAUCUUCUAAAUAUCUAGAACAGAAUGUCAUGCACUCCUCUGCCAAGUAGCCUUCAGCAAUUGAUCCUUCUGGAUAACGCUUAUUGCGACAAUAAGAUUUCAAUUUGCUUAGGAACCUAAACACGAUAUACAAUAUUUAUCAAAAGUUGUAACUAAAUGUAUAGACGCGAAUAAAUAAAUACUUGACAAAUAAAUUAGCACCUUUCUAUUGGAUACAUCCAUCGAUAAAAAACUGGUCCACCAAGUAUUGCUUCGUGAGGGAGAUGGAUUACCAAGUGCACCAUAAUAGUGAAGAAGGAAGGUGGAAAGAUCUUCUCCAAAUUGCAUAAAGUCAAAGCAGCUCGAUCCUGUACUUUCUUAAGUUCUUCAACAUCCAAAAAUUUGCCACAAAUAACUUUCAUUAUAUUGGAUAGUUCAAUUAUACAGGACGUCACAUUUUUUGACAUGCAGAACCGUAAAGCAACUGGGAGUAAAUCUUGCAUCAAGAUGUGGUAAUCAAGUGAUUUUAAUGAAUAUAAUCUUCGAUCUUUAGGAUUCACACAUCGAGAUAUAUUUGACGCAUACGCAUCUGGGACCUUUAUAUCCUUCAACACCAUACAAAACACCUCUUUCUCUUCCUUUGACAUUAAAAAAAUAAAAGGCGGCAACCGAUAUUUCCCAUUCGGAAGUUCUUGAGGAUGAAGAUCACGCCGAAUUCUCAUGUCAACUAAAUCAAGUCGACUCUGAAUAUUGUCUUUUGAUUUUCCAUCGACAUUCAAAAUUGUCCCAAUUAUGUUCUCACAGACAUUCUUCUCAAUAUGCAUGACAUCAAGAUUGUGACGUAAAAUAUUAUGCUCCUAAUAAGGUAACUAAAAAAAAAUGCUUCUUUUUUUCCACAAGUCUGCCUCAUUAGGAUCAUCCUCUUCGUCAGAUUCAUCAUCAGAUUCAUCCCUCGAUAUUCUCUUUGAUCUCAUGUUAGGUGGUUGAUUCAUCUUUCCAUAACUAAAGUUGAUAUCUUUUAACAUAAACAAGAUUUCAGAUCCAACGGUCUGCUGAGGAGCUCCUCUGUACUCUUCAGUACCAUCAAAUAGAGUCCUCUGAAAUCUAAAUUUAUGAUUUCCAUCUAACCACCGACAAUGGCCCAUGUAAGAGAACUUUUUCCCAUUGUACAACCACUUCGAACAAGUUUGAGCAGCACAACAAGGACAAGCAUAACGUCCUUUAGUACUCCAACCCGAUAAAUUAGCAUAAGCCGGGAAAUCAUUAAUUGUCCACAAUAAAGCGGCACGUAAAUUAAAGUUCUCCUUUCUCAAUACAUCAUAUGUCUCAACACCCGACCAUAAUUGUUUUAACUCUUCAAUAAGUGGCCGCAAAUAGAUGUCAAUAUCAUUUCCGGGACCUUUCUCUCCAGGGAUAAUCAUUGAUAAAAUAAAUGAAGAUUGCUUCAUGCAAAUCCAUGGAGGCAAAUUGUAAGGAACAAGCACUACAAGCCAAGUACUGUACGAAGUACUCAUGAUUUUAAAUGGAUUAAAGCCAUCAGCUGCUAGCCCAAGCCUCACAUUCCGAGGAUCGCUUGCAAAGCUUGGAAAUUUACUGUCAAAUGAUUUCCAAGCUAAAGAAUCCGUAGGAUGUCUUAAUAAUCAAUCAUCGGUCCGUUGAUCAUUAUGCCACCUCAUAGAUUCGGCUGUCUUUGAGGACAUGAAAAGCCUUUGAAGUCUUGGUAUCAGGGGAAAAUAUCGCAAGACCUUGACUGGCUUCUUUCUUAACUGUGCCCCACCUUCAUCCGUAUUCAAAUCUUCUGUAUUACUAUUCAUCCAACAAGACUUACCGCAAACAUGACAAGAUUGUUGGUUUUUCUGAUCACCCCAAUAGAACAUGCAGUCAUUUGGGCAACUAUGAAUUUUAUCGUACCCAAGGCCCAAAUCUUUUAUUAGUCUCUUCAUGUCUUGACAAGACUGGGGAAUUUUUGCAAACGGAAACAUCUCUCUUAGAAACUCUAGCAGCAUUGUAAAAGAGUUUCCGGUCCACCCUCCCAAAAAUUUUAAGUGAAAUAGAUGAAUGCAGAAGAACAAUUUCGAAUAUUUUGAUCCCUCGUAAAGUUCUUCAUUCAUUUCAUUAAGUAAAUUGUAGAACUUAGCCGCUUCUUCAUUUGGCUCCUCAUUAGGUGCACUUGUUCCCGUUUCGCAAAAAACAUUUCCAGUAAAAUUACAAUCCUCAGAUAUAAUAAAGCCAGGUGGAAACGAUUGCUCACCAUGACUACGCAUAUUAAAUGCAUCCCGCAACAUAUCUUCCAUGUCAUCUUGUCUAACAUACUGAUGGUAAUCAGUAUCAGGAUAAGUCGGAUUAAUCGUUGAAGAAGUUCCACUAGAUGUACACUCUCCAUGGAAAAUCCAUUUUUUAUACCCCCGAAUAAAGCCAUCAACAAUUAGAUGUUCGUAGACAACUUCACGAAAAUGCCAGUAGAUGUUGCCACACUUCUUACACGGACAAAGAAUCAUAUUCUCUUGGCUUGCAUUUUGAAAUGCAAAAUUUAGAAAAGUUUGUACUCCAUUUUGAUAGGCAUUGCUUACCCUUGACAAUUUCAUCCAACUCCUAUCCAUUUUGUAGUUCUUGAAAUCUAAAGUUGACAACAUAUUACAGUUACUUAAAUGUUCUCAAUUGAUUUAAAUCAUACAUUAUACUAAAUAUCAAGUCUCUAAUGGGUAUAAACUAAUUUAGGCAAGUUGCAGGAUUUUCGACUAUAGAUUUAUGUAUUAUGUAAGUUAAGUAAAUUUCGUAAACUAGUUAUGUAUAAUAUGAGAUAUAUUUAAGUAUUAUGUAAGUUAUGUAAUUUAUGAUAUGAUAUAUAUUUAUGUAAAUUAUAUAUUUAUCUAAGUUAUAUAAGUUAUGUAAGUUAUGUAAAUUAUGAUAUAAAAUAUAUUUAAGUAUUAUGUAAGUUAUGUAAGUUAUAUAUGUUAUAUAAGUUAUGUAAAUUAUGAUAUCAAAUAUAUUUAUGUAUUAUGUAAGUUUUUUAUUUCACGAUGUGGAAAAUCACAUGGAUAAUACAUAUCAAAUAUCAAGUAUCUACAGGUAAGUAGCGGGAUUAAAUAAUAUUUAAUUAAAUAAUAUUUAUAAAAAUUAUUUUAAUUAAAUAAUAUACAUGUCGUUCGUUUUUAUUUGACAAAUCACAUGUGCAGUUAAAAUAGUCCACACUUAAUUUAAUUUAUGUUUUACAAGUCAUCUUUUCUUAAGUACAUAUUAAAGCACUGUGUGGACAUCCGUAUUUAGCUUAAAAGCUAUGAUUUAGUUUGAAUAAAAAGUUUAACUUAAAUGGUAAAACGGACGAUAAUAUUUGUGAUAAAACGGAGAAUAAUAUUUGUGAUAAAACGGACGAGAAUAUUUCAAUAAUAAUUUAAAUUUAAGUUAAAAACUAUAUAAAAUAUUUUAUUAAAUAUUUGUAUAUUAGAUGGGACAUAUUAAAUUGAAACAUACAAAUUUUUUAAGAUUCAUCAUACAUGGCGUUGUUACACCUAGGGAGGAUCCAUUAUAUCUUGCAGCUCGAUAUAAGGCAACCCGUCAGGUUUCCAGCCUAUAUACUUUGAAUCUUUAAAAUAUUUAAAAUAAGGUUGGAGAGAAGGUCAGGUAUUGUUGUAAUUUUGAUAAAAAAUAGUUAUAACUUUUAAAGAAAUUUAAAAAUAUUAAAUAUUAAAAUAAAACAUUAUUAAUAUAAAAAAUAGUAAUUUGAAUAUAAUAAAAUCAAAAAAUAAUCGUAGUUUAAUUUUUAUAAGUAAAUUGGAAAUAAAUUAAGGUUAUAUAAAUAUUCAAUAGUAAAUGAGCUCGAUAGAACUUUUUUCAAGUCUUUUUGAAUUUUUUAAGAUUCAUCAUACGUGGCGUUGUUACACCUAGGGAGGAUCCAUUAUAUCUUGCAGCUCGAUAUAAGGCAACCCGUCAGGUUUCCAGCCUAUAUACUUUGAAUCUUUAAAAUAUUUAAAAUAAGGUUUGAGAGAAGGUCAUGUAUUGUUGUAAUUUUGAUAAAAAGUAGUUAUAACUUUUAAAGAAAUUUAAAAAUAUUAAAUGUUAAAAUAAAACAUUAUUAAUAUAAAAAAUAGUAAUUUGAAUAUAAUAAUAUCAAAAAAGAAUCGUAGUUUAAUUUUUAUAGGUAAAUUGGAAAUAAAUUAAGGUUAUAUAAAUAUUCAAUAGUAAAUGAGCUCGAUAGAACUUUUUUCAAGUCUUUUUGAAUUUUUUAAGAUUCAUCAUACGUGGCGUUGUUACACCUAGGGAGGAUCCAUUAUAUCUUGCAGCUCGAUAUAAGGCAACCCGUCAGGUUUCCAGCCUAUAUACUUUGAAUCUUUAAAAUAUUUAAAAUAAGGUUGGAGAGAAAGUCAGCUAUUGUUGUAAUUUUAAUGGACAAGCAAGCUACACGGUAAUAAAAUUAAUUCAUACCUAUUCAUACUUAAGUUGAAUCAAAUAAUAAUUAAGUUCAACCAAAUAUUUAAAAUUAAUUUGGAAACAAAAUAGUUCUACUCCAAACAGAACUAGCAAUUAAAUCUUUACAAAAUCGCAACCCCAAAAUAUUAAUUUUUCCAAAAUCAUCAUGAUAAAACUAUUAUUGAUUAGAAUUUUGAAAUAAAGCCUACCUUAAUAAAACGUACCUGGUCUACUCCACUCUCACCAGCAAACAGAGGGUGGAGUCAAAAAAGAAUUAUGUAUUAUGUAAUUUAAAGUGAAAAUGCAUAGAAAUAAUGAAAAAUUUUAGCAACGAAACUUGUACGUACCUAGAACAAAUGCCAAUGGCUGUGGUGUAUUUAGUUGCACCAAAUAUUAAUUCAGGUGCUCGAUAGUACCUAGAACAGAUGUAAGAUUAUAAGAGUAGCACAAAAUAUAUUUCAGUUUAAGCAAAUAUAAAAACUUUACCUAUAUCAGUUUUGCAAGUGCCCACUUGUACCAGGAUCAAAGACACUGCCAAUGAAGCUAUACACCUUAGCAAAAUAUGGCAAAACUGCACAGUAAACACAUAAGUUGGAUAGAAACAUGAAAACAGACCAAAAGAACAUCUAAAAAACAAAAAUGGAAUCACCAUUAGUAUGUAAACAUGAAAAUGCACAGCUUUAAACAAACCAACUUUGCAUGUGCAGAAUCAUACUCCACAAAACUCAUAAACAUUAACUUCUCCUAACCAGAAUACCAACUUUAUGUUUACAGAGGCCUUGAUCAAAACUAACAUAACUGUUGAUUUAUAACUUAUCUAAUAAGAAUCACAGAAUAUGCAGAAAGUACCUGAGCAUUUAGUUUCAAGAGAACCAUGUAUUCGAAGGAAAAGAGGCAGAAAAUGAUCAAUGUAUGCAAAACCUGGUCUAUAUUUCAAAACUGGAGUAAAGCUUUCAUCUAGUACCAAAUACAUACAUAUAUAGAGACACAAACACACAGGCAUACAUCUUCCAUUACCUAAAUCUGUUUCUUGCAAAUAAAAGAUAAGUAAGCUUCUACAUGAUUCAUACUAGAUAUCUAAUCCUAGCAGAAAAAAUGUAUGAUUCAGUUUCUAGAGAUGUUGAAUCUUUCAUCAUAAACAUAAAAAACAUAAAAGGAAAAACAUGUUGAAAGAAACAUAAAUGUUAGGGAAGACAAUGUUUACCUUGAUUGAAUUGGAAAUGUUUUCUUGAGGGUUUAUUUGGAGAUGCUUGGGAUUGAUCUCUAAUAAUGUCGAGAGACUUCCCUACUCAUUCCAUUUGAAGAACAGAAGUCUGUUUCUAGUCGACAAAACAAUCAAAUGAGUUCUAAAAAUAAACAAUAUUUAAUGAUUGGUAUAAUAUUAAUUAUAUUUGCUAAUAACAGGUGGGAAUAAACAAAUAAAAUGAUAAAAAAAAUAGAAGCUACAAGAAUUACUAAAAAUAAAGCUACGUCAACAAUGGUAUCAUGAGAACGAAAAUUAAAAAUCCGAAUUAAGUAAAAAAACAGAGAAAAAUAUAAAAGAGAGACAAAUAAGGGGACAAAGGGCUGGUUUUGUUGGAAUAACCGAAGUUGCCAGAUUUUCCACUAAAAAUCAUAGUUAAAAUUCUAGGGAAAGACAGUAAGUAACAGUCACCCUAAUGAAGACCAUUGUGAGGAGAAAUAGGACCAAGCUUAAUACCAUUAAAAGACAGUAAGUUACAUUGUAUACAUAUUAUCAUUGCAAUUCGGUAUAAAUAUUUCCUAUUAUCCCAGCAAUGCUAACUAUCACAGCCAGUAUUAACAUUAACCACGACAAAAAUUUUUCUACUCUGCUCAAGCUCAUGCUCUCUUCUUGCUGACUUAUCCUCAAUGCAAUUAGAUCAAGGAACGUAAAACCUAAGGAAACAACUAUUGUUGCUCCAGUAAAUUUGAAAGCUGUCCAUAUAUUUGGGAUCAUAGUAGAUCCAAUAAGCUUAAUCAGGGAACGUAAAAUUUGGGCUCAUCCUUGGAGCCUCUAUCUUCCCCUCAAUAAGUUUAAUGAAUGCAACAGCAAAGCAAACCACAACGAAAACAACAGCGAGAGCUACCGAAGUAGCUGAAGUCAUGCUCAAUGAAUCAAUCCUAUCUAACAUGCAAAGUGGAGCAAGAAAAACAACCAUAACAACCAAAACCAAUAACUUCCUAUGAUCCCAAAAAACAUGUCCUAACCACUUAUCGAAACCCCAAUAUGACGAACCGAACCAGACAUAACAUCACCCAUAAUAAUCAAAUAAACUAUCAGGACACCUGCAUUGUUGACAAUUAUGCAAAUCUUAAACAAAACCCUAGCAGUUCUCCCCAUUGCAAUUUGCACAACUUCCCCAUAAGAUCUAGCUUUACAAGAAACUGCAAACCUAAUCAACAUCUCGACACUAAUUUCAGACAAAAUCCCAACCAGGUUUAUCCAAAAAAUUCCCUAAAACAAGCCCCAGAACCUUCAUAGUAGCAGCUAAAGCCAUGAUUCCAGCACCAAUAAUUCUGGUGGUUAAGUUAAAAACAGCACUAGAAACACCAGACCCGGUAUUGGGUUUACUUAAAACAAGGGUAUAACCAUCCAGAUCAAACCCAUUUCAAACCAUUUCAAACCAAAAAAAAGGCAAGUAAUACAUGAAAAAACAAACAAACAAAACCACACAAGAAAAAUAAAACAAAACAAAACAAACGCCCCAAGUACGAAAGUUGAGUUGCUUUAACACGCAAAAACUGAAGGAUUAGAUUAAUUGGUUUAGACCAUAGUUGAAUUAAAUUCAGUGUUCUAUAAGGUGACUUUUGGUUUAAGUAAUAUUUUCGAAUUCAAUAGGCUGACCUUACCGCCAGUUCAUCAUUGACGACAUUUUAAGGAAAGAAAAGAAACACUGUUGAAGCUUCAAGGACCCAACAAAUAAAGUGAAAGAAAAAAGCGAUAUGGCUUAGCAGUUACCAGAAAGUUUGGGAUCGAUCUGUGUAUAGUUGACGUAUGAAGAGUUGGCUCUUCUGGUUCUGGUUCAGACGAAAUCGAGUGAGAGAGAAGUGCUUUGCUACUUUUUCAUAACAUUCAGAAAUUGAGCUUUGUCUAAUCAACUAACCCUGAUUUGUCGAUAAAAUGAAUCGAUAGGGCUUUCUUCUUGUAUGUUUUUCAUUUGAUGAUCAUUGGGCUAAAACCCUAAAUAUGAAGCAUAUCACCGUCGACGAGAGGAAAGGGAAAAUAAUUAGGGAUUUCGGGGAUGGGGGAACAGAUUAAGGGAAAAGAAGGGGACUUGGGAAAAAUGUUAGGGAUUUCGGGUUUGGGGAAUUAGGGGAUGAUUUGGGGAAAAAGAAAUAGGGGUUUUCUGUUUUAGGGAUUUAGGGAAGGAAGAGACGAAAUGGGGGAAAAUUACUUAGCAAAAAUCAAAACUGAUUUUGGGUAAAGGGCAUAAACCACAGGAGAGAAAAAACGACGCCGUUUCAAAUAAGGAAAUUUUGUGGCGUUUUCAGAAAUGCACCGGUAAUGAGCCCUUUUGCGGCGUUUUCAGUAAAGCGCCACUAACGCCCUUUUAUCUACACAACAAAAUGACACCGUUCUAAUACGAGUUGUGGCGUUUAUAUUAGAAACGCCGCUAAAGCCGCUACUAUUAAGAGGAAACGAUGCCGUUUUACUCUAAUGUAUAUUGAAGUUUUAUGGCGUUUUCUAAAAAAAGCCGCUAUUUCCUAUCUUUUGCGGCGUUUUAUGUAUAAACGCCACUAAUACGUGAAUAUUUUAUAAAAAUUGAUCAAAAUUUAAAACUAUAUAUAUUUAGAAUUUCUUUUAAAUUAUAUCUAAAUAAUGUUACUGUGAUGUACAAAAUAUAUAUUUCAAUCUUCAAUAUAUUAGGUUUAGUACAAAUUCGCAAGAAUAUCAUAAAAUUCUAAAUAUUGGUUCAGUCUUCAAUAAUAAUAUGCCUUAAACUUUAAACCUCAAACUAUAAACUUACACUCUAAUUAAACCCUAACUAUAGUUAAAAUUUUAUUUUUGAUUUAAUACACAUUUUAAAAUACAUAUUAUGUAUGCAUAUAAAUUAAUUAAAUAAAAACAUGAUGCUAUUUAUUAUAUCAAAAUUAAUUAAAUAUUUUACAAGAUCUAGAUCAAAUUACAGUUCAUGUACACAAUUGCACACUAAACCACUUUUCAUAUAUAUAUUUAUAUAUUUUUUAAAAUAAUAAUUUAUAUAUAUUUAUCUUAUAUACAUUUAUCUUCUACAUUAAAAUCCAAAAUUAUACUGUAAAUUUAAAACCCUAAACUUCAGACUCUAAACCCUAAACCUUGGACCACAAACACAAAACCCCUAACCCCAAACGUUAAACCCCAAAACCAUUCGGUAACCCCUAAACCAACCAUAACUCCUAGACCAUAAAGCCCAAACUAUAAAGUGUACUUUAAAAACUGUUAACCCUAAACCAUAAUAUUCGUAGACAUAUUUUUUGGAAUUCGUGUGGCCAAUGUUAGCGUAGUACAAAUUAAAACACACAUGUAUAUAUGUUUAUAUUCUUAUAUUAAAUAAUAUGAGUAUAUACAAAAUAGCUUGAAUCUUAGUAAAAUCCAAAUGUUCUUCAGUUAAUUUCUAGCUAGCUAAUAGUAUCAUUUCCUUAAACCCUUAACCUAAACUUACACCCUAAAUAUAUAUUAUAAUCUUAAUAUAUAUUAGAAUUUUAAUAUAUAUAUAUAUAUAUAUAACAAGGGACAAAAGUAAUUCAAAUAGAAUCUUAAUGCUUACCAAAACUCUAAAAUAAAUUAAUUUUUUUAUCAUUAAUCAUAACCUCUAAUCCCUAAUAGCAUAACCCCUAAAACAUAUAUAUGUACCUAUUUUUUAAAAUAAUAAUUUAUAUUUAUCUUAUUUAGAUUUAUAUUAUAAAAAAAUCCAAGAUACACAAGUUAAGUAGUUUACCAUAUUUACCUCUAAAUUCUAAACCCCAAAUCUCAAAUCCUAAACUCUAAGCCCUAAACACUAAACCAUAACCUAUAAACUAAAUUACUUGUUUGCGGCGUUUUUCCAAAAGCGCCGCUAAAACAUCGGCCUAUAGCGGCGUUUUUCCAUAAGCGCCGCUAAAACAUCAGCCUAUAGCGGUGUUUUUCCAAAAGCGCCGCUAAAACCUUGACCUAUAGCGGCGUUUUUCCAAAAGCGCCGCUAAAACCUCGACCUAUAGCAGCGUUUUUCCAGAAGCGCCGCUAAAACCUCGACCUAUAGCGGCGUUUUUCCAAAAGCGCCGCUAUUGUACAGUUUUUAGCGGCAUUUGGGCCAAAAACACCACUAUUGCUCAGUUUUUAGCGGCGUUUGGAUCAAAAACGCUGCUAUUGCUCUGUUUUUUACGGCGUUUUAUUGCAAACGCCGCUAAUGUAAAAUAUUUGCGGCGUUUUUUGUUCAAACGCCACUAAAAACGCCGCUAAAGCCCUAUUUUCCUGUAGUGAGCCGAACAAGUUGAACCGAUUAAAUAUUUUUCUUCUUUUUUAAAACUUUCAUAUAUUUUUAAUGAAGCUAUUUAAUUAUUGUUGGUCUAGUAGUUGAACUGAUCAAACAAAUUGAAUUGAAAAUCACUGGUCUAACCAGUUCAACUACCAAUCCAGUUAUUAGAACAUUGUAUGUGACACUCUAAAAUUGUACCAUGUCAUCACUUGAAAAUUUGUAUAUAUAUUUUAAUUUGCAAGUGAUGUAACACAAUCUCAAAGUGUCAUGGGAUCAAACUUUAUAUUUUUUAAGUUUGUGAACCAAAAUGAAUCUAAUUGUCAAGUUCAGGUACCAAAGUGGAUAAAAAGAAAAGCAUAGGUACCAAAGUGGACCUAGUUGCCAAGUUUACAAGGUGAAAAAUAUAUUAUCCUAAAAGCUGAGCACUUUUAGUCUGGAAUUUUAUAAAGGGUUAAUAUAUAGCUUGCUCCCUGAACUUGUUUAAAAGUACUAGUUGGUAUUUAAAUUUUUUUUUACCUAGUGGAUAUCUGAACUUGUAUUAUGUCAUUCAAGUUGGUAUUUCCACACAAACAUCGUGUGUGGCACUGAUGGUCAAUUCGAUGGUGACGUGUGGUAGCCUCUCAGUAUAACAUGUGGAAAACAUAUAUAAAACAUUAAAAAAUUAUUUAAAAUAUAUAAAUUAAUUAAAAAGUAUAUUUUCUUUUUCAAAUUAAAGAAUAAACCUAGACAAAUUUUUGUCCAAAUAUGUUUGAAUUGGGGCACCUAUUUGUCCAAAUUCAUUCUACAUGCAUUUUUAGUAAGUUGAUAUAUUUUAAUUUUUUUUAUAAAAUAUCAGUUUUUAGGCUUUUAUUAUUUUAAAAAGAUAUAUAUGAUAUAAAAAGCAUAUAAUAUUUUGAAAUGUAAUAGCCCAUUUUCAGUGAAAUCGGAACAGUGGUUUCGGGACCACAAAUCCUAGUUGAAAUGAAAAUUUAUUUUAAUAUUAUUGCAUGGUCUGCAUUAUGAUAGGAAUGUCAUAUAAAAAUUCUGAUAAGAAAAUUUUACCAAUUAUAUGUUUAAUUAUGGAAAGGCCCAAAUUGCAUAAAAUGCAAAAGUUGAGUUAUAGUAGCUAAAAGGAUCAAUUAGCUAUGGAAUUCAAAAUAAGAGGUCCUUAUUUGGAAUUAGACCAUUAAAGAAAAGUUAGUAGAUAUUUUUGAUGAAUCAUCCAUGGAAAAUUAGAAAAAGGAAAGGACAAAAUUGGAAAAUGGAAAAAUUAAUGGAGGAUAAAUAAUUAAAUAGAAAUAAUAUCAUUUUAUAUCAUCUUCAUCCCCAAAAAUUCCAUGGAAACCCUGGGAGAGAUAAAGGAAACUAAUCAAGCUUAAUUAGGUAUGUUUUCUUGUCCCGUUUUUAAUAAUUUUUAUAUUUUUGAGAUCGAGAUAGCUUAAUCCAUCUAUUUUAGGGAUUAGUUUGAAAACUUAUCAAUGUAUCAAAGUUUUUCCAUGGAUGAAUAUGAUGAAAUUUUGAAAUCUAUGGUAGAAAAUGAAAGGUUGUUGAUAGAUAAACAACUUUUACAAAAAGAAUUUUGAUGAAAUUAUUAUUUAGGGGCUAAAUUGUAAAGAUGUAAAAGUUGUGGAAAAAUUCUAAAUUUUGGGAAGUACAUAUGCUGUAAAAGUUAUAUGAAAAUUUUGGUUAGGCUUGGAAUAAUGAUUAAAUUGUAUAAAUUUCAAUUUCCGAGCCUAGGGAUGAAAUCGUCAUUAGUGAAAAAUAUAGGGGCAAAAUCGUAAUUUUUCCUAAGAUGUAAAUUGAAUUAAAUUGAGUAUGGAAUGGAUUAAAUUGAUGUUAAAUUCAUUAAUAUAGAUCCUGAAAGACCUAAUACCAGUUGGAUCGAGGAAAACAAAAAGUUUUGGAUUAGUAGAUUUUGUAUACGAACAAGUAUUGAGGUAAGUUCGUGUAACUAAAUUGUGUACAUGUUUUUGAAUUGAAUGUUAUAUAUGUGAAUUCUGAAUUUUUUAUAUAAAUGAAAAUAAUAUAUAUCCAAUAUACCCGAGCAUUAUUAAGUCCUGUUUGAAUAGGUGAAACUUGAUGGAUACAAGUUUUUCCGAAUUGGUUGAGGUCUUGCAUAUGUUGCAAACACACUAUGGCUCGAAAAAGCAUCCCAUUAUUAGCCCUCUCAAGUUUCUGUUAUAUGGUUCAACGAGCUUCCCGUUAUAGCUAUUCAGGGCGUUUCAAUAGGUUGUGAUUCUACAUUUGUUGUGGUCACACCUUAGCUUUUAUGAGCAUCCCGAUUAAAGGUUCAUUGUGAAUUUCCCGUUAAAUUGACUCUUUGUGAGCUUCCUGACAGUGCUCGCUUGAACUUCCCGACAAGGUUCUUUGUGAACUUCCUAAUUAUGGCUCAAAUGAACUACUGUUAUAUAGUCCGGAUAAGCUUCCUGAUAGGCUCUUUGUAAGCUUACAGAAAUGGUUCUGUGUGAGCUUCCUGUUACAAGGCUCGAGAGUGUACUUCUUGAUUAUGUGCUCUAAUUGGGUACCUCUAGAAAUGAAUUGAUAAAUUUUAGUAGUGUAUGCUAAAGUGUACUGUAUGAGCAUAUCCAUUGAUAUUACUAAUAAAUUCAACAGGUAAAGUUUUGAAAUGGCUAAACUGAAUUUGAAAUGAUUUUUCAUCAAAGUGUACAUGUAAUAUGUUAUAAUAUUGUGGUAAGCAUAUGAAUAUGAAUGACAUUAAAUGAUGAGCUCAUCCAUGUUCUUGGUAUUAUUUGAAUUACUUGACGAACAUGAUCUGGUGAAGUUGUGUUUUAGGCUAUAAGCCAAAUUGUUUGGAUGCAUUAUUGUAUGCUUAUCUUAAAUGAAAAUAUAUGGUAAGUUAAAUUCCUGUUAUACGAACUUACUAAGCAUUAAAUGCUUACUAGGUUUUCUUUUCUCUGUUUUAUAGUGCUCGGAAGCUCGUAAAGGUUGGAUAUCGGUUGGAAUAUCAUCACACUAUCCUCCAGCUUGUUUUGGUAUAAAAAGUAAUCUUAUUUUGAUAUAAUGACAUAUAUAGGUUAACUUGGCCUAUGUUGGCAUGUAAAUAGUAGUUUGUAACUUAGCCAUUGGAAUGGCUAAAAUGGAUUGUUUUGGUAUGUUAUUAUAAGGUUAUAUAUCGUGUUUAGCUUAUAUGUAUGUGGUUUGGUUAAAUUGAAUUAAUGUAAAAUAUAAAUCAUCACAAGAAGGUAAGUUUGAUCAUAUGAAUAUGUGAUACUAUUUCAUAUAUAUUAAUGAUGUUUGCUUGAUUUAUAUGAUUUGAAUUGGUUGGAAAAUAUAUGUAAAUGUUGUUGUAGGUUGAAGGUUAAAUUUGGGUGAGAAAUAAGGUUAGGAAAUGGUCUUAUUUUGUCCACAUAGGUAAACAUGCAGGCGUGUGUUUUGACCAUGUGUGACACACAACCUGGCACAUGGGCAUGUGGUUUGGCCGUGUGUCCACUACAUACUAAAAUUUAGAAACAGAAUGCUCAAAUUUGGGCACACGAGCAGAGACACGGGCGUGUGUCUAAGCCGUGUGUGCUAUAGGCCCAGAACACGGGCGUGUGUCUUGGCCGUGUGAAACCUGCACCUAAUUUGUGAAAAUUAAAUUAACCAUAUGGCCUAGCACAUGGGCGUGUGGUAGGCCGUAUGACACAAGUCAGGGAAUUACAAGGGUAAGGACAUGGGCUAGGACACAGUCGUGUGUGUCACAUCGAAUUCCCACACGGCCUGAGACAUGGGCAUGUCACAUGGUCGUGUAAGCCACAUAGCCUACCCACACGGGCGCGUGACCCUUGUAUAUAAGAAAAAUUUUGAAAUUUUUCAAAACAUUUCCUAAGUUCCUGACUUGGUGUAACGUCUUGAAUACUUCAUUUAUGUUUUUGAAAGUAUCUGACACAAAUGUGUAUCUACUUCAGUGGUUAAGUGUUCUGGGUGUGUGUGUGAGGUCUUGGGUUCAAGUCUUCCUUUUGGUAAAAUUUUGAUAUUUUAGAUCUAAGCCUUACCCUUGUUUAGUGGGCUUAUUUAAAAAUGUUUGUUAAUACAUAUCAGAAUGAGCCUGCUAGUUCGAGUGGUAAGGGAUUUGGUGUGUUGGAGGUCUUGUGUUCAAAUCUCUACACGAGCAUGAAUGUUAUUUUUGCUCUGGUUGUCUGAGAGUGUUUGGGUGAAGUUAGAAUUUUAAAGUGGUUAAGGUUUAGUGGGAUAAUGGGGAUUGUGAUUUAGUGGGAUAUUGCCUAAAUAUUAAAUUUUAUUUUAUUUUUCUCUCUCCUACCAAAAUUCCUGCUCAUUUUUUACGUUCUUCUCCAAAUUUUCCUCUUCCAAACUUUUUCUUUUUGAUUUCUUCCUUCUUUGAUUUCUGUUCGCUUUUCUGUCUUUCAAAUCACUUUGUUUGGGUGCUGUAGACUCUAUUCGGUCUUUAGUAGGUAAAUCUUCUUAAAGUUUUGGGCUAAUGAAAACCGAUUUCGGGUUUGGUAAUGUGGUGAUUUCUUGUAUAGGUGUUGCUCAAGGGGAUCAAAACGUGUUUUCCAGCGUGUAGCAUGUUCAGGUUAUCGUAUCCAUUUUGGUAAGUGAGCAUCAUUUGAAGUAGUUUCUCAAGUAUAUCGUUUGGGGUUUUGGAUAGAUUGGCUUCGAUAAUUGGAAUUGAUCGGGUUUUUGGUGUUGUUCUUAGGUUUCAGGAGUCUAAGGAUUAUUUCGCUGCGAAAAACAAACCAGGUGAGUACCCGAAACGUAGAAAAUUAAACUUCUGCAAAAGUCGAAAGACUAUUCUAUCGACGCCACAUGGGCGUGUGGCUGGCCGUGUACGAGACACGACUUUGUGGUCGAUGAAGGCAUGGUCAUACAUAAGACACAGCCGUGUGGUGGCUUAUGUGUGGCCAUGUGGGCCCACAGGGGAGUGUGGGUUCUAGGCCGGGCCGUGUGGGCAACACGGGCAAGGCCAAUCUGGGCUUGUGGCAUGUGGGCCCAUUUUUUUAAAAUUUUCCCUAAGGUCACACAGGUCGUUCCGAUCGAUUGUGGGCCUAUCGUAGAGUUGGUAACGGCUAACCAAACCUUAAAACUAUAAGAUCUGCUAGACUGAUUUUUUGUUUUGAGUAUGAUAUUAUUGUGAUGACUGAUUAGUCUGCUAGAUAUGUAUAUAACUGUUAUCUGUAUUUAGGCAUGUUGAGCAUGUUUAAUUUGUGAAUUUUGUAUCUGUUUUCUGUAUCUGUUUUGGGGUGGGAUUUGUAUAUGUGGAGUGUAAUAGCCUAUUUUCAGUUAAAUCGGAACAGUAGUUCUGGGACUACAAAUCCGAGCCGGAAAGAAAUUUUAUUUUUAUAUUUUUGCAUGGUUUGAAUUAUGUUAGGAAUGUCAUAUGAAAAUUCUAAUAAGAAAAUUUUAUCGAUUAGGUACUUAAUUAUGGAAAGGACCAAAUUGCAUAAAAUGCAAAAGUUGGAUUCUAGUAGUUAGAAGGAUCAAAUAGCUAUGGAAUUCAAAACUUGAGGUCCUUAUAUAUCAAUUAGACCAUUAAAGAAAAGUUAGUAGAUAUUUUUGGUGAUUCAUCCAUGUAAAAAUUAGAAAAGGUUAAGGACUAAAUUGGAAACUAAAAUAAUUUAAAGAUUAUAAAUUAAUAAAUAAGAAAUAUCAUCAUAUUAUUAUCUUCUUCAUCCCCAAAAUACAUUGAAACCCUAGGAGAGAGAGAAGAAACUAAUCAAGCUUAAUUGGGUAAGUAUUCUUGUCACGUUUUUAGUAAUUUUUAUGUUUUUGAUAUCCGGAUAACCUAAUCUAUCUAGAUUGGGGAUCAAUUUUAAAAGUUAUCAAAGUAUAGAAUUUUUCCAUGGAUGAAUAUGCUGAAAAUUUGAUAUUUAUGGUAGAAAAUGAAAGGUUGUUGAUAGAUAAACAACUUUUACAAAGUGAAUUUUGAUGAAAUUGUAAUUUAGGGACUAAAUUGUAAAGUUGUGAAAAUUGAAGAAAAUUCUGAAUUUUAUAGAAUAUAUGUGCUGUAAAUUUUAUAUUAAAAUUUUGAUUAGGCUUGAAAUAAGAAGUAAAUUGCAUGAAUUUCAUUUUCUGAGCCUAGGGACGAAAUUAGAAUUUAUGGAAAAUUUAUGGGCAAAAUGGUAAUUUUUCCUAGGAUGUAAAUUGACUUCAAUAGAAUAUGAAAUGUGAGAAAUUGAUGAUUAAAUUCAUUUAUAUACAUCCAGAUAACAUAAAUUUAAAGCUAGAUCGAGGAAAAGAGAAAGUAUCAGAUUAGUAGAUUUUCUUGUGCGAAUUAUUAUCGAGGUAAGUUCGUGUAACUUAAUUUUGCAUGUUAAUAUGUUUUAAUUGAAUGUUGUAUUUGAUGUGAAUAUGGUAGAUGUUUAUGUAAUUUAUAUAUAUGUUAUAAAUACAUGAAAUGGUUACAUGGUUGCAAAAAUCAUUGAAUUGUAAGUUCCGUUGGAAUAAUGAAAAUCGAUGGAUACAUGUAAUUUCCCAUACAUGAAAUAUGAUUCUACAUAUGUUGCAGACGGGAUUUAGCUCGGACGAGUAAUCCCAAUAUGGCCUAUCGAGCGUACUAAUAUAUAUAUAGUUCCUACGAGCAUCCUGAUCGGUAGUGAUUUUGCAUUUGUUGCACAUUACCGCAGCUCUUUGUGAGCAUCCUGACAUACGAUCUGUAGCACCCCAAACCCGGGCUAGACGUUAUGGCCGAAUCUAAAUAUGUCACAUGUUAGUGCUUUUUGAAAAAAUGUCAUUGCGAAUCCCCUUUUCUAUUUAUCCUUUUUUUAUUAUCUUAUGUUACUUUCAAAUCAUGUCGUUCGUUUUCAAUACAUUAACCAUUUGCAAAUUUGUAUUCAAUUUCCAAAACGUUUUUCAUUGUGGAAGCUUUUAAACAGUUUGCGUGUUCAUCGUAUUUUGAUAAAACAUCAAUUUCAUUUGAAAACUCGAGUUUUACCUAUUACUAGCAGAUUUAAAUCAUAAAACUGUAUAAAUCCAAAUUUAAACCAAAACCCGUAAAGGCCAUAACUAUAGCAAAAUACUCCCAAAUAAAAGUAAAAUCAAGAAUAGGAAAUGAACAGUGUAAAAAAAGUCGUGCGGCCACCAUUGAGUCCUCCGUUGCACUGACCCAUCUGUAUCUAGGGAUUACCUGUACAGAUUAAAUAGAAGGGGUGAGUUUACGUAAACUCAGUGUGUAAUCCCCAUACAAAUGAACAGACAACAACUAGAUAAUCACAGUCUGGGCUCAAGCCCUUUUCAGUACCAAGAUUAGUCCAAUUUGGGCCUUAGCCCAUCUCAGUACAAAAAUAGUCAUGCAGUAGGUCUUUAGCCCAUCACAGCAUCAGUAGCACUAACAGAUAUUCAGUCACAAAAAUCCUACCCCUCCAGCCUCUACACACCAUCUCCGUCAAACCCUACACUUCAUGUGGGGAUAUAAUCAACCCACCCAUCCCUACACUCCAAGAAGUACUGAGUGCGGCACUAGACAGUAAUUUGUAGCUGAGCUGUCAGUAAAUUAGGCUUGAAGCCUUUCAGUACACUUCUUCCGAACAAUAUCAACCCCCAACCCAAUGCAAUGCAACAUACAGUUAUGACAUGCUAUAACAUGGUAACAAUACAUACAAUAUCAGUACAGUGAAACAACAUCAUGCUUGAUAACAUGUAUACAUAUAAAUCAGUCAUACAGUCAUUUCUUUCAGUUAAUGGUCUAGUUAAGCUUACCGACCCUACAGUAGGUUCAAAUUCAUCUUAGGCGACCUGUGCAACCUUGGAAAUAAAUUAGUGAAAAUGGGCUCACACGCCCAUGUUGUCUGCAGGUGUGGCCCACAUGGCCUGAAUUGGCCUUGGCCAUGUGGAUCACACAGCCUGGCCUAGAGUCCCGCACACUGCUAGCUUACCCGUGUGGGCCCACACACCCAUGUGGCCCACACGGUCCAAAUUGGUCCAGCCUGUGUCUUGCACAUGGCCUACCUAGCUAUCACACGUCCAUGUUUGAUGAGCAUGGCCUGGCCUCAUCGAUCACAAGCUCAUGUUAGGGCACACGGCCUACCACACGGCGACCACACACCCUUGUUGCGUCAAUAGUGAGGUUUUUGGCUUUCGCUGAAACCUCAUUUUCUAUGCAAUCGAGUACACACCUGGUUUCAUUUGAAGCUAUACCAACUACAAGCGCUCUAGAACCUAAAAAUCGAUAAUCCAAUUCUGAUUUUAGAGAUAUACAAAACUUGAAUCGGGAUUAUAACACUACGAAAAACUCACUGAAUCAGCUAGCGCUAACAUGCACUUACCGUCAAUGAACCAAAAUUCCUAAUGCUCCAAUCACUGUGGCGUACCAACAGGUUACUAAUGUAACAUCCCUUACCCAAGACUGUCACCGGAGUCGAGCACGAGGCGCUACUAAACUUAUCUUACUUGUUUGGGGCAUAAAAAAAUUUACUUUUAAAAAAAAUUAAUUCGCUCACAUUCAUCCAAUAGAUCCCUAAAAAGGGCCCUCGAUGCCCUAAAAUGUGCAAUUAGAACGGUUCGGGACGAAACCGGGAACAUUAAAACUUUUCCAAUUACUUACACAAAAACAAAACAAUUUAUUUCACUAUUCAUAAUAAAACUGCCCAUCUGCAUAACAGUCACUAAUUUAAUUAUAACUUGAGUUACGAAACUCAAAAUUUAAAUCCAUAAAUUUUCCCUGAAACUAGACUCAUAUAUUUUCUUACCAUAAUUUUUCCAGAAUUUUUGGUUUGGUGAAUUAGUACAUUUUAUUCAUUAAAGGUUCCCCUAUUUUAGAGUUCAGUGGACCUGACCUCUCUUCUCUAAAAAUUGAUUAUCUUAUUAUACAGAAAUCAGAUAUGUUUUUGUUUGUUUCUAAUGAAAAUAGACUCACUAAGAAAUCUAAAAAUAUAAACUUUGACUUAUAAUUAUUUUUUUACAAUUUCUAGUGAUUUUCCAAAUUUGGAAUAGGGGAUCACAAAGUCACUCUGAUCCAGUCUUACAAAAAGUUAAAUAUCUCAGAAUGUAGACUUCCUUUGUUUGUCUGUUUCUUUCCUAUAAAAAUAGACUCAAUAAGAUUUAAUUAUAUAUCUUAUUCACCAUUUAAUUCCAUUUCUACAAUUUUUAGUGAUUUUUCAAAACCACAUCACUGCUGCUAUUUCUUAACUGUUCCAUGGCCAACUCUUACUCUUUCAUAGUUUCUUUGCAUCAAACCUCAUUUAGGCAUACAUAAUACCAAAACAUGUUCUUAUUUAGAUAUAUCAUAAGCUAAUCAUUACCAAGUAUUCACAUGCCAUUCUUUAAUCAUAUUGUAAGGACAUACACACAAAAUAGCCAAGUCCCUAUACAUGCCAUAAGUUAAAGUAUUUCUAGUCACAAAAUACCUAGAUAACUCGUUGGUAGUGUGAGGCGAUCUCCGACGUCCUUACGAUUUUUCGAGUUGGCUUUGCGAUAAUAUAAAAAAAGAGAGAAAAGAAAGGGAGUAAGCAUAAAGCUUAGUAAGUUUGCAUGUAAAUAAAUAACAACAUUCUAAAUGAAUUAUAAAGAAAACCUGAACCUUUCGAACAUGGACUUAUCUUACCUUCCCUUUGGUACACUCUUUGAAUUUUCCGUUGAACCAUUUUGAAUAGUAAGGAUACACUGGUACCUUUCCUUUUUAAACUUACCAUUUCCAUGUCUUAACAUAGUCUUACAUGGUAUCUUUGCCUUAUGAACUCACCAUUGCCAUGCCUUGGCAUGGUCUUACAUGGGAUCUUUGCCUUAUAGUAGUUUAUCAAUGCCAUGUCUUGACAUGGUCUUACAUGAUUUCCUUGCCUUGUAAAACUUACCAAUGCCAUGCCUUGGCAUGGUCUUACUUGGUAUCCUUAAACCCUAAUUUCAUGACAUUUGUAUCCGUAUCCUUAAACCCUAAUGUCAUGACAUUUGUAUCCUACACAUUCUUAAGGUUCAACCGGAACUUUUAAGUAUCAUUUCUCCGUCAAUUCUUACUUGAAUCAUCAAGGAAUAAAUUUACAAAAUAAAUAUAUAGAUGCUGAAAAAUAACACCAUUAACUAUAAAUAAUAAAGCAUUGCAUUUAUUUACUGCAAACUUACCUCGAUACAAAAUACGAUCAAAUAUUUUGAUUUAGUCCUCAACCUUUUUCUUUCCUCGGUCUAACACCGAAUUUCGUUCUUCUUGAUCUAUAAUAGCAAGUUUAAAUUUUUAAUAUUCAUAUUUAUCAAAAUAGUCCUUAACUCUAACUUUGGCAAAAUUACAAUUUUGCCCUUAAACUUUUACAUAUUUACACUUUUGCUCCAAGGCUCGGAAAUGAAACUUUAUCCCUAAUUCUUAUGUUUUAUGACAUGCUAAUCAUUUAUUUACCUACGGCAACGUCAAAUUUGCACUCUAACAUGUACUUAUGACCAUUAGAUAUUUUUACCGAUUAUGUCGUUUUACUCGUUUUCGCGUAAAAUCGCUUAGAUCAAGUUGUUUAACAUAAUUUCAAGCUUCAUAUUCUACCAUAAAACAUCAAAAUAAACACAUUUCACCUAUGGGUAUUUUUACAAAUAUGAACCCUAGGUUAAAUUAUUGCUAGAAUAAGCUAAAUUAAGUUACUAAGACUUAAAAAACGUAAACAACAUUAAAAAUGGGGCUUGGAAUCACUUACUAUGAAGCUUGAAAGCUUGACAAAACCCUAGCUAUGAAGAACCCUUAAAAUUUCGGCCUAAUGAAGAAGAUGGGCAUAUGUUGCUAUAUUUUUCCCUUUUUUAAUCUUUUAAUUACCAAAUGACUAAAAUACCCUUCAUUAAAAAUUUAGUUAUUUUUAUCUAUGUAUGUCCAUUUUUGUCCAUGAAAACCGAAUGGUCUAAUUACCAUUUAAGGACCUCUACUUCAAUUGUACUCUUCAAUUUAAUCCUUUAGCAUCUAAAACUCAUAUUUAUCAACUUUUACAAUUAAGCCCUAGUAGGCAAAUUAAGCAUGCUAUCUAUAAAAUUUUCCAUCGAUACUCUAACACAUGUAUCUAAUCACUCGAUAAAUUAUAAAAAUUAAUCGAAAUAAACUUUUCUAUCUCAGAUUCGUGGUUUCACAAAUGCUAUUCCGUUUAGGCCCUAUUUUGGGAUGUUAAAACUGACCAUUGCCUAACAAAAUCGACAAAACAAUCCUUCAUCAACACUUAGUCCAAAAACAUCAAUGCUUAAGCAAAACCCAACACUUAUCGAGCACCUCGACGUUGUACAAAACCAAACGAGUUAAUGGCAAGGGAAACGAAAAGAAAAACAAAGAUGAGAUGGGGAAAAAAAUGAAACAAAAAUCAAAAGAGGAAAAAUGAGCAGAAUUUUGGCAGGGGAGUAGUGAAAUUGAUGUUAGAAGAAAGAGGGCAAAAUUUUGGGAGUUUCGAAAUACAAAAUAAAAACAUAAAAAUCAGAUUUUUGGAUGAAUCCCAACAUCCCCUAAUUCACUCCUAAGAUCUCUCCACCUAGCUCCCCACUACACCCUACUACUCAGAAUCCACAUUAACUCAAACUCCUGCCAAAAUAGUAAAAAUUUUCCCCUUUGCACACGCAGGGAUUCAAACACGAGACCUCAAGCAUACCAACACUCCUUUAAACCACCGGACCAGUAGGCCUAUUCUGUUAGCAUUUUGCAAACAAUCAAUUAUAAGCCUAUUGAACCCAAUUAAGGCUUCAUUCAGAAAAAUACCAAAAUUUGCCCAAGCUAGAGCUUGAACUUGGGACCUCUCACACACACCCAAAACACAUAACCACUAAAGCUAAUAUAUAUUUGUGUCACAUUUUAAUAGAAUAAAAAAUAUAAUUUUUUACGGCGUUACACAAUCGGUUGUAAUCCUGCAUGUAAUGCGGACACAAACACAGCUCUUCAUGAGUGUCUUGUUAUGCUUGCUUGAACUCUCUGUUACCUUAUCCAAAGCUCCCUGAUACUAUCUUUUUGGAGAUAUCUGAAAGGUUCUAUAAGUUUCCUAAUUAGCGCGGAUAAGUGUCCUAUUACAUGAUUACAUGGCUUGUUUGAGCAUCUUGACAUGUGGCUCGAGAGUAUGUUCCCUAAAUAAGAAUUAACGGAUUAUAGGCAUGUACACCUUGAGUGUACUAUUUGAGUAUCCAUCGAUAUUUCAAUAAUUCAAUGGAUAACACUAUUGACAUGAGAAAAUGACGAGAUAAAUAGAAAUAUGCUCUGAAUGUUUUUGAAUUAUUUGACGAAGGAUUAUAUGAUGAGCUUAUCAAUGUUUAGUUAACAUUUACAUGUAUUAUAUGACUAACUUGCUUGAUUGAGUAUAUGUGUUUAGGUAAAUUUGUCAAAAUGAUGAAAGCAUGUUAAUUGUAUGCUUAGUGUCGUUAAAUGUGAUUGGUAAGUUUCAAUUCCUAUUAUACGAACUUACUGAGCAUAUAAUGCUUAUUAGGUUUUAUUUUCUCUGUUUUUUAGUGCUCGGAUGUAACACUCUUUACCCGUAUUUGACGCCAGAACAGGGUACGAGGCAUUACCAAACUUAAAAUACAACCAUUCACAUAAUUCCGAGUCAUAAAUUUGUGUCCAAAUUAAAACCAUUCACGUUCAAUCAUAAAGUCCCUAGUACGAGCCUACGAGGCCCAAAACAUGCAUUGGAAGGGGUCUGGGACUAAACCGAGAACUUUAUAAAUUUCUACAAAACUUAGAAAAGUUUUGCCUUAAACAGGGGUCACGCACCUGUACAGUUUGGGACACACCCGUGUGGGCAGGUCGUGUGGCUACAUACUCCCAUGUCCCGACCCCAUGUAACUCUCUGACUUGUAACCCAUGAACAAAUUGAGGUUGCAUGGCCAAGUCACACACUCGUGUGCUAGGCUGUGGGGAAAAUUAAUUUUCAUAAAGUAGGUGCAGACUUCACACGCCCAGGACACACGCCCGUGGCUAAGGUCGUGUCAUCUACACGGCUGAAACACACGCCCAUGUCUCUGCUUCUGUUUCUCAAAAUUAAAGUGCAAGGGACACACGGCCAGAACGUAUGCCCGUGGGACAGACCAUGUGUCGCACACAGCCUAGACACACGCCCGUGUGUCUACCUAUGUGGACAAAAUAAAGGCUAUUUACCAAGCCAUUUGCCACCCUUGUUAGCACAAACACUUAUACCAAUUCAAUAUCACAAACCCAUGGCACACUUAAGCAACCAAACAAUCCACAAUCAUGGCUAAUGCAUAUCAAUGUAAUACCAUCAUCUAACAUACACAUGACAUUUAACAGGCUAAAUCAAACAUACCAUUUUCAUAUUUCCAAAACACCACUAAGACUAAUACCAACUUGUAUUCAAUCAUCAAGAUGAUAUAGCAUAUAAAUAAACCAACCCAUCUAGUUCGUAACAAGGUAUUAAACCAUAAUCAACAAGUAACAAACCAUUAUAAACCACAUCACUAAAAGUAUUAGCACAUACAUGCAUAUAAAUAGAAUUACAACCAUGUUAACCAAGAUCAGACAAUUUACAUGACCAAAUAUCAAACAAGCCUUUGCCAAUUACAAGCCAAUACAUUUGGUCAAUCAUAGUGACACAUAUAACAAAAUAACCAAGUCCCUAUACAUGCCAUAUUUUUAAAAUACUAAAAUCAUCAAGACCCAAAAUAAUAGUUUUGAUAGUGUGAGGCAAAUCUCUGACGAUCUCCGAUUCCGGGCUAGCUUGGCGGCACUGUGAAACAUGGAAAAUAAAUGGAGUAAGCUAUAUAGCUUAGUAAGCUUGUAUGCAAGAAAUAAGCAACCUUACCAUGCAUAUUACAUUCAAAUAAUAUAACAUAAUUAAAUGUACAUUCACAAUGGUCUCAUAAUCAUAACUUAUUCCAUCUCAAAACUUGCCUCAUAUUCAUCAUUUCAAGCAUUUAAUAGAUAUGAGCUUCAAGUACAUACCUGUACCCUCUCGAAAGGAAUUUACUCAUAAUCUCAUAUUUGACAUACCCGUGAACCACUCGGAAUAACAAUGUUAGAUACUCAGGAAAUUUGCAAACUAAGUGCCACAUAUGUAGUGAAUGCUAUUUCAAAUCUCAUAUCACAUAGUUGCUCACUCUCGAGCUAUCAACGGGCCUACUCACACAAGCUGUCAGUCAAGACGUAGCUACGCAGUGCUGCUCACAUAAGCUGUCAAGUAUCCGCAACAUAUGUCGGUAUACUCAGCCACCGGUAGGACGUGCAAGGCCAGCACCCGGAUCAUAUGAUCACAUAACACAUACUAACCCUAGUGACAUGUCACUUGUAUCCUACCUUAUUCCUAAGGUUCAACGGGAUUUCUUGCUUGUUGAUUUAUCUUCGAACUCAUUCAUAAGAUUAAGCUCAUCCACAUUUAUCAAACAUACAAUUCAUGCAAUAUUAAAACAAUAAAAUACAAUCAUACUAAAGCUUAUUUUUAACAUACGAACUUACCUUGGUACAAAAUGGCUAAUUGUUUAAUUUAGUCCACAACUUUGUUCUUUCCCCGGUCUAGGUCAGAACCUUGUCUUUCUUGAUCUAUAAUACCACAUUUAACUUAUUCAAUCAUCACAUUAUUCAAUUUAAUCCCAAAAACAACUUAUGGAAAAAUUAAAUUUUUGCCCCUAACUUUUCAACUUUUUACAUUUUAGUCCCUAGGCUCGUAAAAUGAUUUUCAUUCGAUUUCUUCAUUAUCCAAGCCUAGCCAAAUAUUAUUAGUACUCAUAUUAUUCUAAAUUUUUCAGUUAUUCACAUUUUUACACACAUUUUACAACUUUUACAAAUAGGUCUUUAUUUGACAUUUUCAUCAAAAAUCACUUGGUAAAGAUUGUUUAUCUAACACCAAAUAUACAUUUUCUACCAUUAAACAUCAAAAUACACAAAUAUUCAACAUGGGUAAAAUUUUAGACUUUUAUUUCCUUUCAAAUUAGUCCUUAGAAUAGCUAAAUCAAGUUACAACAUUCAAAAAAACGUAAAAAUCAAUAAAAACGGGACAAAGAUGGACUUACAAUCGAGCUUGGAAGUUGGCCAAACCCUAGCUAUGUCUUCCCCUUGUGAUUUUCAGUGUGGGGGAUCAAAUUAGAAAAGAUAACAUCUUUUUAUUAGUUAUUUUUAUCUUUAUUUACCAAAUGACCAAAAUGCCAUUCACUUAAAACUUUGAAAUUUUUUCUAACCAUAUCCAUUUUUGUCCAAAUUAAAGUAUAAUGGUCUAAUUACCAUUUAAGUACCUCCAAUUUAAAUUUUCAUUUCAAUUUGACACUUCUAGCUUCUAGAACACACAUUUUGCACCUAUUGCAAUUUAGUCCUAUUAGUCAAAUUGGACACCCUAUCGAUAAAAUUUCUUAAUGAAAUUUUUACACAAUCAUUCAAUCAUACUGUAGACAUUAAAUAAAUAAUAAAAAUAAAUAUUUCUACUUCAUAUUUUUGGUUCCGAAAUCGCUGUUCCAACUUGACCCAAAAACGAGAUGUUACAACUUUGCCCCAUUUAUGGAUUUUCGUCCCCGAAAAUCUUACCAGAAAAGAGGUUUGGGUACUAUUUUCUCAUAGCUUCCUUAGUUUCCCACAUAGCUUCUUCGACCCCAUGUCUUUGCUACAGAACUUUCACUAAGGCUAUAUUUUUAUUUCUCAACUGUUUAACUUCCCGAGCUAAAAUCUUGAUCGGUUCUUCACCAUAAGUCAUAUUGUGUCGAAUUUCAACAUCAAUUGGUGAAAUCACAUGAGAUGGAUCUAAUUGAUAUCGUCGCAACAUAGACACAUGAAACACAUUAUGGAUCCUUUCUAACUCUGUCGGUAAAGCUAACUGAUAAGCCACUGGUCCUACCCUUUCUAGAACCUCGUAUGGAUCGAUAAAGCGCAGGCUCAGCUUGCCUUUGCGACCAAAUCUAAGAAUUUUCUUCCACGGAGAUACUUUCAGAAAUACUUUAUCAUCGACUUGAAAUUGAAUUUCCUUUCGUUUCAAAUUCGUGUAAGAUUUCUAUCCAUUUGAAGCCGCUUUCAAAAAAUCACAAAUUAUUUUCACUUUUUCUUUGAUUUCUCUAACCAAAUCAACCCCGUGAAUUUGUCUCUCACUGAGCUCGAUCCAGUACAAUGGAGUUUGACACUUACAUCCAUACAAUACCUCAUACGGUGCCAUCUUUAUACUCGACUGAAAACUAUUGUUAUAAGUAAAUUUGACUAAAGGUAGAUAUUUUUCCCAACUACUUUCGAACUCUAAAACACAACAGUGAAGCAUAUCUUCGAGUACCUGAAUCGUCCUUUCAAAUUGACCGUCGAUUUGCGGAUGGAAUGCGGUACUAAAGUUGUACCCAAAGCUUCUUGCAACCUCUUCCAAAAUUGAGACGUAAACCUCAUAUCUCUAUUCGAAAUAAUAGAAAUAGGCACCCCGUGUAAUCUAACAAUCUCAGUUAUGUACAACUCAGCUCGUUUAUCAAGUGAGUAGUCGGUAUGUAACAGAAUAAAAUGAGCUGAUUUCGUCAAUCUAUCAAUAUCGACCCAAAUAGCAUUUUUCUUCUUCGGAGUCAGAGGUAAUCCAGUUACGAAAUCCAUUGUAAUUCUGUCACAUUUUCACUUAGGAAUCAUCACAGGCUAAAGUGAACCCAAAGGUACUUGAUAUUUGGCCUUUACUUUUUGACAAAUCAAACAUCUCGCUACAAAUUUAGAAAUAUCUCGUUUCAUGCCAGACCACCAAUACAAUUUCUUCAAAUCAUUAUACAUCUUCGUACUUCCCGAAUGAACAGAAAGACAACCACAGCAUGCCUCAUGAAUAAUUUUCUGAAUAAGCUCGAAAUCGUUCAAUACACAAAUCCUACCUUAGAAUAUCAAACAUCCAUCGGUCCCAAUUUGAAAUUCUGAACCACUAGUCAAUUCGCACUAAACUCUUUUAACCUGAAGUUCUUUAUCACUUUUCUGAGCUUCGCAAAUUUGCUGAAGAAAUACCGGCCUAGCUUUCAACUCAACUAGAAUUGAACCAUCAUUAGAUAAGGUCAGUCGCGUAUUCAUUUCUCUCAAAGCAAACAAUGAUUUUCUACUCAAAGCAUUGGGGACCACAUUCGCCUUUCCUGGAUGAUAAUCAAUUACUAACUCAUAGUCUUUCAACAACUCGAGCCAUCUCUGUUUCAAAUCCUUUUGAGUCAUCAAAUACUUCAAACUCUCAUGGUCGGUAAAGAUGUGCCACUUCUCACUGAAUAAAUGGUGUCGCUAAAUCUUUAAAGUAAACACAAUGGCAGCCAAUUCCAUGUCGUGCGUCGGAUAAUUCUUUUUGUGUGGUUUCAACUGUCUCGAGGCAUAAGCUAUCACUUUGCCCUCUUGUGUCAACACACAUCCAAGACCGUUCAAUGACAAGUCACUGAAAAUCAUAAACUCUCUUCCUGACUCAGGUUGCACUAAUACCGGUGCCUCAGUUGACAAUGCUUUCAACUAUUCAAAACUCUUUUGACAUUUCUCAGACCAUUCAAACUUAACAUCUUUCUAUAACAAUCUCGUCAUAGGUGUAGCAAUCAUCGAGAAUCCCUUGACAAAACAUCGGUAAUACUCAACUAAGCCCUAAAAGCUUCUAACCUCAGAUACAUUCCUCAGUGGUUUCCAAUCAACAAUUGCCGAAAUCUUACUUGGAUCAACCCUUAUACCUUCUAUGGAGACAAUAUGUCCCAAAAAUCUGAUUUCUCGGAGCCAAAACUCACUUUUGCUAAACUUAGCAAACAACUUCUUAUCUUUCAAAGUCUGCAACAUAAUUCUUAAAUGUUCGGCAUGCUCAGACUCAUCUCAGGAAUAAAUUAAAAUGUCAUCAAUGAACACAACCAUAAACUUGUGUAAAUACGGUCAGAAGAUCCGAUUCAUCAAAUCCAUAAAAACAGCAGGAGCAUUAGUUAACCCAAAAGGCAUAACAAGAAACUCAUAAUGAAUGUACCUCGUUCUGAAUGCGGUUUUUGGCACAUCCGAGUCUUUAAUUCUCAGUUCAUAAUAACUAGAUCUCAAAUCUAUCUUUGAAAACACUAUUUCCCCUUUCAACUGGUUGAACAGAUCAUCAAUUGUCGGUAAAAGAUAAUUUUUCUUUAUCGUAACCUUGUUAAGCUGACGAUAAUCAAUACAAAGUCUCAUGGAUCCAUCUUUCUUCUUGACGAAUAAUACCGGUGCACCCCAAGGCGAAAAACUCGGUCUCACAAAACCCUUAUCUGUCAACUCUUGCAACUGAGACUUUAAUUCUUUCAACUCAGUUGGAGCCAUUCUAUACAGAGCUAUCAAUAUCGGUGUAGUCCCUAGUACCAAAUCAAUAGCAAGCUCCACCUCUCUGACCGAUGGUAACCCUGGCAACUCUUCUGGGAACACAUCCAGAUAUUCACAAACUACCGGCACAAAUUCGAUCUUCAAUUAAGACUUUUUCAUGUUCAACACAUAUGCAAGAUAAGCUUCACAACCUUUCCUUAUAUACCUCCGAGCAGAUAUCGAUGAAAUCACAAUAGGCAAUUCACCCGACUCUUCUGACUUAACCCGAAGAGUUUCAUUAUUUUGACAUUUCAAUUUAAUAAAUUUUCAUCUACACUUCACUACUACAUCAUGCAGAGUCAACCAAUCCAUUCCAAGUAACACAUCAAACUCAUCAAAUGGCAAAAGCAUUACGUCAUCUGAAAAAUAGUGACCCCGAAUCAUUAAAGGACAACUCUUGCAAACUUUAUCAACUAAAACAUAUUUGCUUAAGGGGUUCGACACCUUAAUCACAAAUUCAGUAGACUCAACAGGCAAAUUAUUACUAGAUACCAAAUUCAUGCAAAUAUAGGAAUGAGUCGAUCCAGGAUCAAUUAAUGCAACUAUGUUAGUAUCAUAAAGAGAAAAUGUACCAAUGAUCACAUCAAAAGAGGACGCAUCCUCACGAGCACGAAUGGAAUAAGCUCUCGCAGGUGCUCUAGUUUUCGAUCUCACAAUUGAAUCUUUGGAUACACCUCUGCUAUUGGUCCCAUUUCCCGUAUUUCUCAUUGGCCUCCCUCUAGCAGCAGUAUUACUGGAUCUUACAUUCUAAAAAUUAUCCUUUUCAACUAUUUCAGAGUAGUCUCAGGUAAAGUGAUCUUGGGAGCCACAUGUAAAACAAGCCCGAUUAUUCAUCCUACAUUCACUUGGAAAAAACACCUUAUGGAAAAAAUUACAUUUUUACCCCUAACUUUUCAACUUUUUACAUUUUAGUCCCUAGGCUCGUAAAAUGAUUUUCAUUCGAUUUCUUUAUUACCCAAGCCUAGCCGAAUAUUAUUAGUACUCAUAUCAGUCCACAUUUUUCAUUUAUUCACAUUUUUACACUCAUUUUACAACUUUUACAAAUAAGUCCCUAUUUGACAUUUUCAUCAAAAAUCACUUAGUAAAUGUUGUUUAUCUAAUACCAAACAUACAUUUUCUACCAUUAAACAUCAAAAUACACAAAUAUUCAACAUGGAUAAAAUUUUAAACUAUGAUUUUCUUUCAAACUAGUCCUUAGAAUAGCUAAAUCAAGUUACAACAUUCACAAAAAUGUAAAAAUCAUUAAAAACGGGACAAAGACGGACUUACAAUCGAGCUUGGAAGUUGGCCAAACCCUAGCUAUGUCUUUCCCUUUUGAAUUUCUGCCAUGGGGGAUCAAAUUAGAAAAGAUGACAUCUUUUUAUUAGUUAUUUUUGUCUUUAUUUACCAAAUGACCAAAAUGCCCUUCACUUAAAACUUUGAAAUUUUAUCUAACCAUAUCCAUUUUUGUCCAACUUAAAAUAUAAUGGUAUAAUUACCAUUUAAGUACCUCUAAUGUAAAAUUUCAUUUUAAUUAGAUGCCUUUAGCUUCUAGAACACACAUUUUGCACCUAUUGCAAUUUAGUCCUAUUAGUCAAAUUGGACACCCUUUCAAUAAAAUUUCUUAACGAAUUUUUCACACAAUUAUUCAAUCAUACUGUAGACCUUAAAGAAGUAAUAAAAAUAAAUAUUUCUACUUCAAAUUUAUGGUUCUAAAACCACUGUUUUGACUUGACCCAAAAACGGGAUGUUACAUCGAAAGCUCGCGAAGGUUGGAGAUCGAUUGGAGCAUCAUCACACUAUCCACUAGCUUGUUUUGGUAUAAAUAGUAUACUUGUUAUGGUAUAAUGGCAUUUAUAGGUAACAUGGCCUUUGAUAGCAUAUGAAUGUGAUUUGUAAACUAGCUAUUGGAAUGGCUAGUAAUGGCUUGUUUUGGUAUAAUUAUAAGCUUAUGAUAAGACAAAUAUCUAUGUGUUAAGUUUAUUAAAUUUGAUUGACCAAGUUAUGCUUAACCUAUAUGUUAAACAAAGGUAAGAUUAUAAUCAUGAUUGCAUAUAUUAAAGUAUCAUAUUAGAUGAUAGAAUUGGUUUGGAUUUAAUACUUGAAUUGGCUGGUAUAUUCUUGUAAGUUUUAGUAUAGGUUAUUGGCGAAUUUGGGUGAGAAAUAAAGCUAGGAAAUGGCUUUAUUUCGUCCAUACGGGUAGACAUACGGGCAUGUGUCUUGAUCAUGUGUGACACAUGGCCUGGCAUAUGGGCGUGUGGUUUGGCCGUGUGUCUCCUGCAUCUUAAAAUUGAGAAACAGAAUGCUCAGAACUGAGCACACAGGUAGAGACACGAGUGUGUAUCUCAGCCAUUUGUGCUACACGGUCUAGAACACAAGUGUGUGUCUUGGCUGUGUGAACCUUGCACCUAAUUUUUGAAGAUUAAAUUGAUCACACGACCUACUCACACGAGUGUGUGGCUGGCCUUGUAGCAUAAGUUAGAGAGUUGCACGGGGUCGAACACGGCCUGUAGCACAGACGUGUCUUAGGACCACAAAGGCGUUUCCCUGGACCACAAGGGCAUGUGUGCCCUAUAUCUAGGAAAAUUUUAGAAAUUUUGUGAAAAAAUUCUCUAAGUUCCCAAUUUAGUCCCGACUCGAUUGUAAUAGUCAUAUUGGGCCUCGAGGGUCCAUUUAAAGGACGUUGUGAAUAAUCUUGAUAAAUGAAUAAUAAAUGACAUAAUUAUUUAUAAAUAUUUUGUAAACUCCAGUAAUACUUUGUAACCUUGUUCCGGCGACAGAUACGGGUUAGGGGUGUUACAUUGAGGAAGUGCUCUCUAUAUGGAAAUCAUCAUCUAUAUUCUGACAGCUUGGUUGCACAUUAUUUGAUAUGUGUCGUAAUGGCAGGUUAUGGUGUACAGGGUUGGGUGGGUGUUUUAAACCCUCCAUGGUUUGAUGGGAUGGUUAGAGAGGGUGUGUACAGGGUUGGGUGGUGCACACAACCAGCCAUACACCCAUCUGUAUUUGUUAUCUGUAUCUGAGAUCGACAUGAGUCCGAGCCUGUAUUUGAUUAUAUAUACAUGAGAUUCCUAUAUGUUUUGCAUGUUUAAUUCUGUUGGGUUACACAUUGAGUUUACGAAAACUCACAUUUGUUUGUUUGUUCUGUUCAGGUAAUCCAUAGACUUAGGCGGAUAGGUGCGAUAGAGACUCAGCGGUGACCACCUGAUUGAAAACUAUUUUACUUAGUAAUUUACGAUUCUUAUUAUUUAUAUUUCUGGUUUUAUUUGAGAGUUUGUAAUUUCUAGGACUCUCUAGACUGGACUGUUUGGUUUUUAACUGUUGAUUUUUGGGUUGUUUGAUAAUUUGACUACUUUGGUAAAAUGUUUUAUGGAAACGACGAUUUUACGCAAAUAAAGGCUUUCUAAAAAUGCAAACUGAAUUUUUGAAAUAAAAUUGUUUUUCGAAAGCUUCCGCUAUUAAACACGUUUAAAGCCAAAUUAAUUAAUUAGAUAACAUUUUGACAUUGGAUUCAAGCAAAUAAGAAUUGAAAAACUGAAAUGGAUUUCUCAUAUUGACUUUAUUUUCAAACCCAUUCUUUGUGACACCUUCGGAUACAGCCAUAACGUCUAGGCCGGGUUUGGGGUGUUACAUUUAGUGGUAUUAAAGCCAGGUUGCAAAACUCGAGCUUUGAAUUUUAGGUUUUAAAAUGUUGUUUCAAAAGAAUUGUUUUUUUUGAAUAGUGUGAAUAAUUUAAGAAAGUGUGUGGUACAUCGAGUCUCUAGCACUGAUCUUGUAAAUAUCUCUGUACUUAGAUAGAACUGUUCUAAAAACACUAUAGUUAGUUCUUUCUAAAACUAUACUAAAAUAGUUAGAGACUGAAACUUCUGAAAACAUCUCUAAACUUCUUAUAAUUUAUGCAUAAAAUAUCUGUUAAUAAAUAUUGGAACUGAUACAUAAAAUCUUAUAAUGUAGAUAAAAUUUAAAAAUUUACGAUGAGCGUUCUUGGAAUACACGGACGUGGUAUUUGUGGUCGUGGUAGAGGCCGUAGGAGGGCUCGACCUAAGUCUUCCUCUCUGGGUAGUAUGCCAAAUUUAGAUACGAGUGAGACAUCGGUUUCGCCUGCUACUGAGACUUGGUCUCAAAGCCGUUCAACUGGGGAUGAGACAUUGUGUUAAGCCUUGUUAAGGGUAUUAGAGAGGCGAUCUAGAUCUGAGGGUCGUAGGUUUGUAAUUGAACGACUCUGGUUUAAUGGAGUUAAGCUUUUUAGGGGUGUCACUCGAGUCGCCCUUACUAUGGCUGAGUAUUGGUUGGAGGCUAUCGAGAGGAUUAUGAAUGAUAUAGACUGUACUCCUGAGUAAAAAAUUAAGGGUGUAGUUUCUUUGCUUCGCAAUGAGGCAUAUUAGCAAUGGUUAUCAGUUGAGAAAUGCACUCAACCUAGUUGUCUGAACUGGGAUUUCUUCAAGGCUACUUUUCAAGGGAAAUAUGUGGGAACAAGGUUCAUGAAUCUCACGCAGGGUGAUAGAUCAGUGGCUAAAUAUGAGGCUGAGUUUUUGAGGUUGAGCCGCUAUGCUCGAGGCAUAGUGAUGUCUGAGUACGAGAAAUGUAUCUACUUUGUGGACGGUCUAAGAGAUAACUUGAGGGUACUAAUUGCACCACAAAGGGAGCGAGAGUUUGCGGUUCUAAUAGAUAAGGCGAAUAUUGCCAAAGAGGUUAAGCGCGUAGAGUGUCAAAAUAGGGACCGUGAGAGAAGCAAGAGUAAGAGGGAUUCAAAGCCCUCUAGUUCUGUUUAGAGGCCUAGGAAGCGGGCCAGACCUGAUGGGCCAGUUAGAGUGAGGGUUUCUAUUGGUCCUACUAAGAUUUAGCCAUGGGGAGACUGUGGUAGGUUCCAUCCAGGUGAGUGUUGGAGGAGGUUAGGGGCUUGUCUGAGGUGUGGGUCUAUGGAGCAUUGAAUUUAAGAGAGUCUACAGCGGGCUGAUCAGAUGGAAGCUUCAAGAUUGGGUUCUGUUCAGCCUUAGAGGGCAGUUUAGUAGCCACCUAGGGGCCGUGGACCGGCUAGGGGUGGUAAUGGUAUAGGCCGAGGGUAGAGAGCACCGAGGAGAGGUACUAGUCAGACUGAGGUGAGGUUUCUUGCUUGGGUCUAUGCUGCUUGAUGCCGAGACGAUAGAGAUGCUCCUGAUGUUAUCACCGGUACAUUCUUAAUUUUUGAUGUACCUUAUACUACUCUAAUAGACAUAGGUUCUAUACACUCUUAUAUAGUUAGUACUGUUUCUAAAAACCUCGGGAUUUUUGUUGAGAGCACUUCUUGUGAGAUUAAUGUACUAAUUCCAUUGGGGCAAUCUGUUCGAGUUGGUAAACUUUAUAGGGAUGUUUCGUUAGAGGUGCAAGGUGAGGUAUUUCUGGCAAAUCUGAUGGAGUUACCUUUUGAGGAGUUCGAUUUGAUUCUGGGUAUGGAUUGGUUGGUUGAGCACCGAGUCAGUUUGGAUUGCGCGACUUUGAUGGUCGUUCUGAGGCUAAAGAUGAUAAGGAAAUGGUUGUGAUCAGUGAGCGUCGAGAUUUCCUGUCCACUGUGAUCUCCGCUUUUGUGGUUGAGAAACUAGUUCGAAAAGGGUGUGAGGCAUAUAUGGCUUUCGUCAGUGUUUUAGUUUCUAGAGACUAUGUUAUCGAGGAUAUCAGAAUAGUGAGAGAUUUUUAGGAUGUCUUUCCUGAAGAGUUACCAGAUUUACCUCUAAAUCAAGAAGUUGAGUUUGGCAUUGAGCUUCUACCGGGUACAACUCUGAUGUUUAUCACUCCAUACCGUAUAGCAUUGAAGGAGAUUAUAGAGCUUAAGGCUCAACUUCAAGAGCUUUUGAUGUGGUUUCAUUUGUCCUAAUGUGUCUCCGUGAGGGGCAUCGAUUUUGUUUGUUAAGAAAAAGGAUGGGAUCAUGAGGUUGUGUAUUGAUUAUCGGUAACUGAAUAAACUGACUGUGAAAAAAAAGUAUCCACUUCCGAUGAUCGAUGAUUUAUUUGAUCAGUUCCAAGGGGCUUUAGUGUUUUCAAAGUUUGAUCUUCGUUCUGGGUAUCGUCAGCUGAAAGUUAAGGUGGUGGAUGUUCAUAAGACUGCAUUUAGACUCGUUAUUGACAUUACGAGUUCCUAGUUAUGCCUUUUGGUCUGACGAAUGCUCCGGCUGCAUUCAUAGAUCUGAUGAACCGAGUCUUUCAGCCAUAUCUAGAUCAAUUCAUCAUGGUCUUUAUCGACAAUAUUCUGGUUUACUCUAAGACCGAUAAUGAACAUGAUGAGCAUCUUAGAGUAGUGCUUCAGAUACUCUAAGAGAAACAGCUCUAUGCUAAGUUGAGCAAGUGUGAGUUCUGGUUACGACAGGUUACUUUUCUAGGGCAUGUGGUUUCUAUUGAAGGGAUUCAUUUUGAUCCGAGGAAGAUUAAGACUAUGCUGAAUUGGAAAUAGCCUAAGAAUGUAUCUGAGAUUUGUAGUUUUCUGGGUCUUGCGGGAUACUAUCGGUGGUUUGUCGAAGGGUUCUUUCUGAUUGCAGCUCCUUUGACUAAUCUUCUAUGCAAGAGUGUUCCCUUUAUCUCGUCUAAUGUGCAACAAUCGUGCUUUGAAAAGCUCAAGACUAUUUUGACUCAGGCUCUUAUUCUAAUACAGCCUGAAUAUGGUAAAGAAUUUAUGGUCUAUAAUAAUGCAUUGCAUGUCGGUUUGGGAUGUGUAUUGAUGCAAGAUAGUAAGGUUUUGGCUUAUGCGUCCUCUCAGCUUAAGACACACGAAGGGAAUCAUCCGAUGCAUGAUCUCAAGUUGGCUACUGUGGUUUUUACAUUGAAGAUCUGGAGGUAUUAUUUAUAUGGUGAGAGAUGUAUCAUCUACACUGAUCACAUGAGCCUUAAGUACCUCCUUACUCAGAAGAAGUUGAAUCUUAAACAGCGUCGAUGGAUUGAGCUGCUGAAAGAUUAUGACUGCAUGAUAGAGUAUCAUCCUAGUAAGGCCAAUAUGGUGGCCGAUGCUCUUAGUUGUAGAGCGAUGACUAAUUUGAGGGUGAUUUUCACUUGUCUUAGUCUGUUUGAUAAUGGGAGUUUAUUAGCCAAGUUACAAGUUAAGCCGACUUGGAUUGAUCUGAUUCAAGAUAAGUAGUUAGAGGAUAAGUCUCUGGGUUUGCGAUUUUGUCAGAUUGAGAGUGGCAGUACUUCAGAUUUUGGGCUGAAUAAAUAUGGAGUUUUGUGUUUUCGAGGUCAGAUUUGUGUGUCGAAUGAUUCUGAUCUAAGGCAGUCGAUUUUGAGAGAAGCACAUAGUAGCUCUUAUGCUAUACAUCCCGGUGGUAAUAAGAUGUAUCACGAUCUUCGUCACUUAUACUGGUGGCCAGAUUUGAAGUGUAAGGUUACAAAUUUUGUUUCUCGUUGUUUGACAUGCCAGCAUGUUAAGGCUGAGCACCAAUUGCCUUCGGGUUUGUUACAACCCGUUAAGAUUCCCUUAUGGAAAGGAACGAGUGACAAUGGACUUCGUUAGUGGGUUGCCCUUGACAUCCGCUAAGAAGGAUUCUGUUUGAGUCAUUGUGGAUCGAUUGACCAAUUUCACUCAUUUUAUUCCGAUUCAAACGGACUACUCCUUGCAAAAGUUAGCUAAGCUUUAUAUCUUUGAGAUUGUAAGACUGCAUGGGGUUCCUAUUUCGAUAAUUUCUGAUAUAGAUCCUUGCUUCACUUCUUAGUUCUUGAUGAAAUUACAUGAGGCUCUGGGUUCGAGAUUGGACUUUAGUACUACGUUCUAUCCUUAAAUCGAUGGCUAACUUGAGAGGGUGAUUCAGAUACUAGAGGAUAUGCUUGGGAGUUGUGUAAUAGAUUUCUGAGGUAGUUGAGAGGAUUAUCUGUCACUAGCUGAGUUCCCUUACAAUAAUAGUUUCCAGUCUAGCAUCAAGAUAGCACCUUACGAGGUUUUGUAUGGUCAUAAGUGUCGUACUCCGCUAUGUUGGAAUGAGUUGGGUGAGCGUUGGGUUUUGGUUCCUGAGUUGGUUUCCAAGACCGAUGAUAAGGUUAGACUAAUUCGGGAUCAUCUGAAGGUGGCUUCUAAUAGACAGAAAUCUUAUGCAAAUUUGAAGAUGAGAGAUAUUUAGUACUCUGUGGGUGACUUCGUCUUUCUUAAGGUUUCUCCGUGGAAGAAAGUUCUGAGGUUCAGCCAUAAUGGCAAGUUAAACCCUAGGUUCAUUGGGUUGUAUCGAAUUCUGAAGCGUGUGGGACCAGUCGCUUAUCAGUUGGAGCUACCUCCAGAGUUGGACCGUAUUCAUGAUGUGUUUUAUGUCUCGAUAUUGAGGUGGUAUCGGUCUGAUCCAUCUUAUGUUGUUUCUGUUGAGGAGAUCAAGAUUAGACUGAAUUUGACUUUUGAGGAGGGGCCGGUUCAGAUUUUGGAUCGUGAUGUUAAGGUUCUGAAAAGUAAGUCCGUUCGGUUGGUAAAAGUUCUAUGGCGGAAUCAGGCAUUGAGAAAGCAACCUAGAAACCUGAGGACUCUAUGCGUCAGCAGUAUCUUCAUUUGUUCUGAUCAGGUGAAUUUCGAGGUCGAAAUUUCUUUUAGGCGGUAGAGUUGUGAUGUCCUGAAUAAUUUAUUUUUGUUUCUGAAAGUAUUUAACAUAAUGUCUAUCUACUUCAGUGGUUAAGUGUUCUGGGUGUGUGUGUGAGGUCUUGGGUUCAAGCCUUCCUUUUAGCAAAAUUUUGAUAUUUUAGAUCUAAGCCUUACCCUUGUUUAGUGGGAUUAUUUGAAAAUGUUUGUUAAUCUAUAUCAAAAUGAGGCUACUGGUUCGAUUGGUAAGGGAGUUAGUGUGUUAGAGGCCCAGUGUUUGAACCCCUGCACGAGAGUGAAUGUUAUUUUUUCUCUGAUUGUCUAAGAGUGUUUGGGUAGAGUUAGAAUUCUAAAGUGGUUAAGGUUUAGUGGGAUAAUGGGGUUGUGAUUUAAUGGGAUUUUGUCAAAAUAUUAAAUUUUAUUUUGUUUUUCUCUCUCCUAUCGAAAUUCCUAUUAAUUUUUUACGUUUUUCUCCAAAAUUUCCUCUUCCAAACUUUUUCUUUUUGAUUUCUUCCUUCUUUGAUUUCUGUUCAUUUUUUUUUUACUUUCAAAUCACCACUUUUGGGUGCUGUAAACUCUGUUUGGUUUGUAGUAGGUAAGUCUUCUUGAAGUUUUGGGCUAAUGAGAAUCGAUUUCAGGUUUGGUAAUGUGGUGAUUUCUUGUAUAGGUGUUGCUCAAGGGGAUCAAAACGUGUUUUCCAACGUGCAGUGUGCUGGGUUAUCAUAUCCAUUCGGGUAAGUGAUCAAACCUUCAUUUGAAGUAGUUUCUCAAGUAUGUCGUUUGGGGUUUUAGAUAGAUUAGCUUGGAUAAUUGGAAUUGAUCGGGUUUUUGGUGUUGUUCUUAAGUUUUAAGAGUCUCGAGAUUAUUUCGAUGCGAAAAACAAACCAGGUGUGUAACCGAAACGUAGAAAAUUGAACUUCAGCAAAAGCCGAAAGACUAUUAUGUCAACGCCACAUGGGUGUGUGGCUAGUUAUGUGCGAGACACAACCGUGUGGUCAACGAAGGCAUGGCCCUGCGUAAAACACAGGCGUGUGGUGGCUUGAGUGUGGCCGUGUGGGCCCAUACAGGCAUGCUACACGAGCAUGUGGGUUUUGGGCCAGAUCGUGUAGGCCACACGAGCAAGGUUAAUCUAGGUGUGUGGGCCCACACGGGCAUGUGGGCCCAUGUUUCUCAAAUUUUCCUUAGGGUCACACGGGUCAUUUCGAUCGACUGUGGGCCUAUCGCAGGGUCGUUAAGGGCUAGCCAAACCUUAAAAAUAUAACAUCUGCCAGACUAAUUUUCUGUUCUGAGUAUGAUACUAUUGUGCAUGACUAAUUAGUCUGCUAGAUAUGUAUAUAACUGUUAUCUGUAUUUAGGCAUGUUGAGCAUGUUUAAUUUGUAAAUUCUGUAUCUAUUUUCUGUAUCUAUUUUAGGGUGGGAUUUGUAUAUGUGGAGAAAGUGCUCUAUAUGGCAAUCAUCGCCUAUAUUCUAGCAGCUUGGCUACACAUUAUCUGAUAUGUGACGAAAUGGCACGAUAUGGUUUGUAAGGUUGGGUGAGUGUUUUAAACCCCACAUUGUGUGAUGGGAUAGUCAGAGAUGGUGUGUAGAGGAUGGGGCUAGGAUUCUGAUUAUCUGAUCUGUAUAUCUGUAUUCAUUAUCUGUAUCUGAGAUGGACAUGAGUCUGAGCCUGUAUCUGAUUAUAUAUAUAUGAGAUUUCUAUAUGUUUUGCAUGUUUAAUUUUGUUGGGUUACACACUAAGUUUACGAAAACUCACAUUUGUUUGUUUGUUCUGUUCAUGUAAUCUACAGACUUAGGCGGAUCGGUGCGGUGGAGACUCAGCGGUGACCACCUGACUGAAAACUGUGUUAUUUAGUAAUUUAUGGUUCUUAUUAUUUAUAUUUCUGGCUUUAUUUGAAAGUUUGUAAUUUCUGGAACUCUCUGGACUAAACUGUUUGGUUUUUAACUGUUUAUUUUUGGGUUAUUUGAUAAUUUGACUGCUUUGGUAAAAUGUUUUGUGGAAACGAUAGUUUUACGCAAAUAAAGGUUUUCUGAAAAUGCGAACUAAAUUUUUGAAAUAAAAUGAUUUUUCGAAAGCUUCCACUGUAAAACACGUUUAAAGAUAAAUUAAUUAAUUAGAUAACGUUUUAACAUUGGACUCAAGCAAAUAAGAAUUGAAAAACUGAAAUGGUUUUAUCGUAUUAACUUCGUUUUCAAACCCAUUCUUGGUGACACCUCCGGAUACGGUCAUAAUGUCUAGGCCAAGUUUGGGGUGUUCCACUUAGUCCCGACUUGAUUCUAAUAUUUAAAUUGGACAUCGAGGGUCCAUUUAAGGGACAAUAUGAUUUAUUUCAGAUAUGAAUAAUAAAUUAUAUGAAUUUUUCUGUAAUUGAUUUGUAAACUCUGGUAAUGCUCCGUAACCUUAUUCCGACGACGGAUACGGGUCAGGGGUGUUACAUGAAAUAUAUACGUAUACAUUUGUUUAUUGGUUUUGAUUAAUACAUACAUAUACAUUAUUACUUCAAUAAAUAAAGUGAUUCACUAUAAAUUUUUAAAUUUUUAUUUAUUGUAAGAAAAAUCACAUGACAAUGUUAUUUAUAUUUGUGAUAAAUAUCUAAUAAAUUCAUUUAACCAAAUCUUUCAAUAGUUUGUAAACGUGAUAAGUCUUAUAAACAAUAAAAAUAUUUAAAAUGGUAAAAUUAAUAAUAUAAUAUAUUUAUUUUUAACUAAUUUAUAAAAAUUAAUAUAUUUGUUUUCUUCUUUUUUUACUGGUACUUCCUUACCUUUUUUUCAGCUAAUCCUUCAUUCUUCUUUUUUUCUUCAUUUCCAUAUUAAAACAUGCAACAUUUACUUGUUAAAAUUAUAAUCAAAUAAUAUAUAUAUGUUAUUUAAAUGAAGCUAACAUGAAUUUCAUUAAGAAACUUAUCAUUCUUACCUUAAUCACUUAUAAUCAAACCCUAGUACUCAUUUUCUCUAUCCUCCAAUACUACUAUUGAUACUCUUUUCAUGAAAUUAAGGUGAAUACUAGGCUUAUCUAUUGAUUUCACUAAGGAUUCAUUAAAGAAAUUGGAGAAAUUAAGCUUAAAAGGCAUAAAAAUGUUGGAAAUGACCUAUUUGUAAUAAAAAUAUUUGAUUAGUUUAAUAAUUAUAGUUAUAAUUAUCAAAAUGGCCCACCAAUUAUAUUUUUACACAUUUUAGUCCUUAAUCAUUUCAUUUUCCAUAAUUAUCUUGUUUGAGUAAUUACCAUUUAAUCCUCUAACUUUCUCUAUAAUAUCAUCCAUGAAUCAUACUUUAUUUUUGGUAAAAUUUCACUUCUAGUCCUUCCUUCUUUUUCCUUCAAUUCAAUGUAAUCAUUUCAAAUUUUUAUUUUUCUUACUUUUGCCCCAAUAGUUUUUAUUUUCUUACAAUUAAGUCAAUGCCCCAUAUUUAUUUCUCUUAUUUCAAGUGUAUUUUUAAUUUUCUAUCGACUCUAACUACUUUCUAUAACACUCAAAACUUCUUAUUUUAUCUAUUUCUAAAUUUCUCAAGUAUACCUAAUCCUACUUGGUAUUGUUCCUAUAUCAGUAGUAAGUUAGGGAUAUCACAAUUUUUGAAGUUUUUAUAAAUUUUUUGAAUAUUAAAAUUUGAAGUUUUUAUAAACUCUAUCCAUUUAUUCAUUUGAUCCAACUUUGAAUUCAAUUCAUUUUUUUACUUAGCACCAAAAAUUCAAAAACGAUUUUUUCUUUUGGAAUGAUUCGAAAAAAAAAAGGAUUCUUAGAAUUCUCCAUUGCUACAACAUAUUCUUUUUUCCAUCCACUCCUUUCAGGAUCAGUCGUGGUCUUACAAACUCUACCGAUGGUCUGAACGAAUAUCUAAAUGUAUAUGAUAUAUAGUUACCAGACACGAACUCUUUAAUAUAUAUAGAAAAGAUUACAGACAUAAACUUGAAUUUUAUUCAUAUUUCAUACACUUACAAAAAUUUUGGAUUAAGAUCAAUGAAAGGAGACUGCAUAAACAAAUUGCAUAUAUUUGACUUUUAUCUAUUCAUUUUCAAUGCUAACCAUGGAAAAAAACAGUAAUACAUUUCACUUUUUCAUCUUUCUUAAUGAAAGCAUCUAUGGAAAAAAAUCAUGUCUUCAUUUUAUUUUAUUUUUUUGCUUUUCUAUUUAUAAGAGUAUUCAUUGCGUAAAGUAGUGUUUAUGAAUAGCAUGAUGUAAAAACAUGAGAAAUUUUAGCCCAUUUUGAAGGCCAUAAAUAGAGUUUGGUACUAUGUGUUUUGUCUCCGAUUAUCUUUGAAGCUUGGACAUGAUGAAGUGUUGAGAGAGUUAUAUCACAUCAGGAAACUACAGUGCAAGUUUGGCUAUAUAUGAAAAAGAAUUAUUAGCUAUUAAAAAGGCAAUAAAAACCUUUCUCAUAUAUUUAGGAUCUGAAAAUUUUAUUAUAAAAACUGACAACCAGGCAGUCAAACAAUUUCUGACUAAUAAUAGUCUAGAAAGUGUACCAAGAAGAAUUAGAUGGUACAAUGAUUUAUGUAGUUUUUAUUUUGAAUACGAUCAAUUGACACUUGCUUUGGACCUCCUGAGUCGAACGCUACGCAAGUCCUGCAACUAGAGAUGCCAAAACAGGCUCGAGUUUGCAACUUCGUUCGCUCGUGCUGAUCCAAGUUUAUAACGAAUUGAAUUAAAAAAAUUCAAGUCUGCAAUAAAUCUAAGUCUGAAAAAAUUCUAAUCCGACAGGACCCAAACACGAGACCAAUCUGGCUCGAGCUUGAGAUAAAUUCAACUCAAAACUCGAAAAAAAUUGACUUUAUAAAUGAACAACCAUAAUACACAUUAAUAAUUAACAAAAUUUUAUAAUAUUAAUUAAAAUAUAAAUAAAUCAUAAUUCUUUUUUUUUUGAAAAUCUAUUCAUAAAGCAUUGCAUAUUUAUAUAAAAAUUUUAUUAAUAGGAAAAAUAAUUAAUAAUAACUUUUUUAUGUUAAAUUCAGGUUUCUUGGUCAUUUCAUACAUAGAUAUCACUUUGAAUUGCUCUAUAUCCACACUACUAAAAAUGACAUUUAAUGCCUUAGAAUUUCUGAAACCCAUUCUUUUCUCUUCAGUAGCAUAUUGUGCCUUUCCAUUUAGUUGGGUAACGUCAUCUAUUCCAUUCAUAGUAGGUCAAGUCCAACUGUAAUGACCCGAUUGUUUAGUGGUACUGAAAAAUGUAGUUUUAAAACCUAAUUUCCAUAAACCGAAUUUGUAAAUAUUAAAUAUGAAUAUUUAUAGAGUUAACAUAAAAAUAUAUUAAAUAUUGGCCGAGUAUUUUUGUCAAAUUAAUAGUUAAUUAAGGCUCAUGGACUAAAGUGUAAAAGUUCAAUAGCUAUAAAGAUUUAUUUGACCAAAGGCUUGAGAACUUAAAUAGCAAUUAACCAAAUGUUCAAAAUAAAAAUUAAACCAUUAUUAACUAAAAGUUGAUGGAAGAUGAUAGUCAUCUCCACUAAGUGUAGUUAAAGUUAGAUUUUGCUAAUUAACUAUGAUUUGUUAAGCUAAUUAGUUAUUAAUUAAACUAUAAAUAGCAUGAUAAGUGGAAAGAAAGAGAAAGUUACCAUCUUCUUCCUCCUUCCUUAAUUGAUUCACCAUAGAAAGAAAAAGAGAAAACAAUUUCAAGGGUUAGUCAUUUGGCCAUUCAAACACGUAUGAAAAUCAAGCUAUUUUCUUGUAAUUUUAAUAGAUUUGUUAUCAUGAGAGUUUGAUUUAGCUAGCCAUGUAAAAAUUUUAUAAAUUUUUAAAGUUUUAAAAAGUUGUUAUUGAUGGUUAGUUGAUGAAUUAGGCUUGAAAUUGAUACAUUUUAAGCUUACAUUAUGAAAAGGACUAGAUUGUAAAGUUAAUUUAGCUUGUUGUUAACUUUGUUAUAUUAGGGACCAAAUUGAAUAAAUGUAAAACUUGUCAUAAAAUUAUGUUAGAAAUAAGAAAAAUGAGGUCCUUAAUGAGAAUUUAUGAUAUCAUAUUUUAAUCCAAAGCUAGGCAUCGAAAGUAAUGUUUAUCCCAAGUUUAGAGACUAAAUUGAAUAAAAUGUAAAAUAUAAGGGGAAUCAAAAAAUGAAAUUUAUAUAUUUUCAUCAUAUGAUUACUUUGUGUGAAAGUGUUUGGUAUUUAUUUGUUAUAUAAAAUAAUUGUAUAGAUCAAGAUUUGGAUCAAAGUGAAGCUAAUAGGGGAAAAGCUAACAUUACAAAUUAGUCCCUGAAGAAUCCACUUAUCUUUGUGUUUAUGUUUUAUUUCAUUAUAAUUACGUUUGAAUACAAAUUUGGAUGUUAAUUAAAUUGGCAUAUAUGGCUAGAUAAGGAAUUAGACUCGAAUGAAAUUAAAAUGAAUAAAAAAUGGUUAAACUAUUUUAAUUGGUACAGAGUAUGAAUAUAAAUGAAUGCGAAAUGUGAAAUUUCCAGUGCUUGGUUAUAGGGAUGAGAAUGAAACAUGUGAAAAUGAUACCCGUGUGAACUUAGUAAAAAGUUAGGAUACGAUUGUCAUGUCAAUAGGGUCUGUGCACUUGUACAAAGAUUAUUAUAAAUUAUAAUGAGAUCUAGCAUUUGUUUCAGAUCCUCAGGUAAUAUAAUGAGAUCCAUCAUUUGUCGCGGAUUCUCAUGUAAUACAUGAUAUAGGUUUAGCUUGAAUAGGUAACUUGAUGAAAAUUUAGCUCGGACGAGCAAUUUAGUUCACUCGUGUAUCCGAGUUCAUUUUACUAGGAUUCCAUCGAGCAAUAUAUAUUUUAAUAGAAAUUGGAAACUUGAAAAAUGUAAUGAAAGUGAUUUGGAAACCAAUUUGAUUUGACAUAAAAAAGAAUUACAUGUAAUUGGUAUAUCUUUAUAGAUUGAUGAUUUAAUAUUGCAUUAAGAUAGAUUAUCUGCAAGUGACAUGAUUUGAUAUGUUUUGAGUUGUUAAUAAUGUUUAAUGAUCAUGGAUAUACAUAUAUAUAUGCUCACCUUGUUGAUGUCUUAAAGUGUCAUGAUCUAGCCAACUUGUGCCAAAUUAAGGUAGCUAAUAUGAUUAAGUAGGAACAAGUUAAGUAUUGUCACACCUGGUUUCGUUUAAGUCCAAAAAAUUAGAACAAUUGAAGGGUUAAAUUGAAAGAAGUCAUAAGUUGGCAACCUCUACUGAAAAAUUUGAGAAACUUAGUGAUCGAUUUUGGACGUGGUUGAGAACGAAUUUUGGUUCGGUUGGAUUAAAACCAGCUGGUCCCUUAGUAGAAGACAAAAUGAUUACCAAUGGAUGGUUUCUAUAGGGUUGGCAACCGAGUGUGAAAGGCUAUAAAUAGUUGGAAAAUGACUUCCUAAUGAGACUUGUUCUCAAAUAUGUUUCAUUUUCCUCUCUUCUUCAUCUUUUUCAUUGGUUGCUUCGAAUAAGAGAUAGUUAUGGGAAGCUUUGCAUGGAGUGGUGAUCAUGAGGUUUGAGUAGGAAAAGUAGAGAAUUUGGCUAGUAAGGUUCUUAGUCCUUCUGUAUACGUAAGAUUAAGAAAAUAAAGUUAUGGGUUCCCAAAAUUUUUUUAAGGGUUUUGUAUGUUUUUAGAAAUCUGAUUCUUAAAGCUGAAGUUACUAAGUUUAACUUAUGACCUUAGUUGUCAAGCUUAGUUUCCAGGAGAAUGAAAGCUCUGGCGUUCAGAAGAGCUAAGCUAAGAGGAUAAAGAGUAUCAGGUGAGUUUUGUGAUCCAUUUUUGGGAUAAAGUAUGCUCUCUGCUGGUUGUGAAUACUUGUUAUGCAUAAGGAUGAGUAGGUUUAUGAGUAUCCGUAAGUGUCAAUAUGUAUAAAAUUUAUACAACUUUAUGCCUAAAAAGCAAUUUACUCCAUGUUAAAAUGUUUAUGGAUUGCAUGUAAUGCCUGUUUAUAUUUUGUGGAGUACGGAAGAGAACUAUUGACAAGUUAUAUGAAGUUAGGAUUGGGAAAGGAUGAUUCUAUUUGAUAUCAUUAUACAAUGUUAUUGAGUGCAAAUCGUGAUGUGCAAAGCUCCGUGCCUUGCGGAGGGGACACUACGGUGUUCGAGCAUCAAGUUUAGGAAUGGCGAAAUGGAAGAAUGGAUGAAGGGAUAAUGAAAAUUGAAUUCUUGUUAGAUACCGCCAUACGAGGCUACUGAAUACAAACCAGGAUGUGUGAAGCUCUGGGCCUUGGGAAUUGGCCACUUCGAUGUUCGAAAAUCAAGGUAGAUAUGAGAUAGAUCGAUAUUGACUAUUAUUAGGUUUUAUAGAGCAACACUGCAACAAUAAUCAACAAGCUCUAUAGGGCAACACCACGACAAUUAUAAGGUCCUAUGAGGCAACACAUUAAAAUAGGUCUAAUAAGAAACACCAUAGCUCGGUAUGGCAAUCGGUACAAUCCGUUAGGAUAGUAAACAUGAGGUAGUCCACUAGGAUGUUAAACAUGGUGAUUAUAUUGUGUAAGACCAUAUCUCGGCUGUUGCAACCAACAAAGUCCACGGGGAUAGUAAACACGAAGUAGUCCGAUAGGACAUUAAAAUGAGGUGAAAGGGUGUAAGACCAUGGCUCGGUUAUGGCAAUUGACUGAGUUUGCCAGGAUAUUAGAUACGGGGUAGUCCACCAAGACAUUAAAAAUAGGGUAGACAAUUAGGGCAAUAAUAUUGGAAAAAGAGUUAAAAGAAUAAUGCAAGUAUUAGCAAGUAGAUUUUGAGGAAUCCGCCAAACGAGGCAAAAGUAGUAGAAGAGAAAUAGUCCACCAAAACAGUGAUCAUGAAAGCUGGUAGGGAAUAAGGGCCGAAACUUAACAAGGAUCAGACAUGAAAAAAAUAAUGUGGUAGUAUUACCUUGUUCAUGGGUAAGGGAAGAGGAGUUAUUAGUAGAUCGUAGUUAAGGAUAAGCCAUUGAGAGCCACCAAAAAAGUGCUCAAAGAGGCUCUAUAAGUUAGAGGAAAAUCUGGGAGGGUUAUUGGGAGAAUCGCUCCCAAUAUAAGACUUGUUGAACCAAAGUUAGGCGGAGAAGACUAAUUGUUCAUACUUCGAAUAGACUACUUGCUAAAGAGGGGUUAGUUAGAACCCAUUGACUAAAAGAGGUAUCAAAAAGGAUAAACUGAUUUACAGUCUGUCAAGACUGUUUCUCUUUAAGGGGAUAUCUAUUAAGAAGAAUCUACCAAAGAGCUAGUUUCGAAGAGAACCAUCAUAUGAGAGAAAUAUUGAACUCGACUGGUCACUCGGAUAGCAGUCUAUCAAAUACUAUAGACCAAAAGGGUCCGCCAUUGACGAACAUGCUCCUUAAUAGAAAGGUAUCACUUUAGUUCACAAGGGAAUAACCCAAACAAUAUUGCAACCCGAAUGUGGGGUGAAAUGAGUUUUAGUCCACCAGGGUGGUGUGGGUCCUCAUUAGCUAAACCCACUGGUGGAAUGUCUGUAAGGCCUAUAGGACUAAAGUAAGAAAAUAAAGUCUACCAAAGAUUAAUCGAGUUUGAUAUGAUCUCUAAUAAGUGCAAAGCGAAAAAAGGUAUUAGGGUGAUAGGUAGGACAAGUACCUUAUAAGUUCAAAGGUAGAAAAAGGAAUCUAUAUUGGUAAUUGACCACCCAACUAUAAUAUUAUGGAUGAAAAACUAUGAUUAGAAAUAUGUCCGAGAAAGAAAUGGAUAAGGGAAAGAAUGUAUGUAAGGAAAGGAUAAAGUCCGUAAGUAUGGAGAAAUGUUUAAAAAUUUUUCCAAACUUGUCAAAUGGUUAUAGGGUCAACCAAGGGAAGAUCGCUUAGCAACCUAUCUGCUUAUAGAUGUGUUCGAGAAAUGAAUCAAAGAUUGUCAAUCCGUAUUGAGAGGAAAUGUCCAAAUACAAUCAAGGAGUUAAUUGUGUUUAAUUUCUCAUUUUAUUACCUUGACAAGUUUGGGGCUAAAUUUUGCAUAGUAUAGUAAGAAACUCACUAAGUUCAUUCGAACUUACUAGUGUUUUGACCUGUGAUGCAGGACUCGCGGGAUAAAGAAGUUUGAGGAAGGACCAAGCUAGACCGAGGUGGAAUAAGGAGAAAUCAUUAGUUUGGUAUCAUGCACAUAAGAUGGGGUACCUUUAGAGGCUUUACCUCGGGGCCCAUUACAUUGUACCUAAGUAGUAUCUUUAGAGCCCAAAAAGUUUGACAUAGUGAACUUUUAUCUUAAUUUAAGGGUUAUGUUGUAAGAAUAUUUAUUAAUAAGAAAUAAAGUCAGUCUUUAAAAUUGUUAGGUUAGAAAUUUGUGUUUAGUCCAAUUCGGUCCAUCUGUGACAUCCCGUACCUAGAUUCAAUGGUUGGGUUGGGUGAGGGUGUUACAAGUAUAAUAUUUUCCAUUUGAAUUUUCUAAGCGUUUAAAUACUUACUCUAGUUUUUUUUCUACUUGUAGAUCAUCACCUUGCAGAACUUGCCAAGUUGAAUUAGCGCGAAGCACACACUACCAACAAGACGGUAGAAGUAUGUUGAUUUUGAGUCUAGAUAUUGUGGCAUGUAUAUAAGGGCACCUUAGUGUUAAAAUGGUCAUUUUGAGUUCAUAUUUAUGUGAUAAAUGUGGUAAUGGUUGAUCUUGCAUGUUAAGCAUGGGAUAUGACUUAAUUGAUGCAUGGUUUGGAAAAGUUUAAUGCUAUUAAAAAGGAUGAUCUUAAACUUACUUGAGCUUAGUAUGUUUAAGGUUACAAAAUGAAAUGGUUAAGAUAGAUAAGUUGGUGAAUGAUUUGAAAAUGGUAAGCUUGAAUGCUAAGCAUGCAUAUAGCUUAGUAUAUGCAUUGUUUGAUUUCAUGUAAAGAUCAUUUAAGUGCUUGGUUUCCAAAUUGCAUAAGUAUGGCAUGAUAGAUUAGGAAAAUUAAACAAUUUUGGUAUGGUUAGUUGAUAAAGAAAAAUACUCAAAUGGUAAAUGUUAGUUUGGUACUAUAUUGAAUGUUUAAUUUCACAUGUUCAUAUGCUUGAAUUGGUAUACGUUGAUAUAGAAUGAUGAUGUUUUGGAUUGUAAAAAGAUGAAUAACUGUAUAUAAGCAUAUGAUUGAAAGCAUGAACUUGUCCCAAACACGCUUUUUCCCAAAAUAGGGGUAAUGUUGCAACCUUGAGUCCCCGACGUUGUGACAUGGGUUGACAAUGGGUGAUGUCGUGACAUCGAGAUGCUUAAAGUUGCGAUGUAACUUUCUGAGUUAACGAUGUCAUGACGUGGAAAUCAUGAUGUCGCAAUAUCGGCCUAGAUUUUGAAAACUUCACAAUUUGUUCCUAGUUCAACCUUGAGUUAGCAAAAGAGUUUUUGUAAGCUUAUAUGGUACCCGAAAAUAAUUAUGUUGCAUAGAAUGAAUGUGAAUUAAACUUAAUUGCAUGUGUAAAUGGUUGUAUGGUGUAUAAUUGCCUGAAGUUGCUCCAACAAUGAAUAUAGCUUCUUAUAGCUCGGACCUAGUGAUCAGGUCAGGUAAAGGGUGUUACAUCACCUUCUUCGAUAACCUUACAGGCGGUAUCAUCAGUCGACAUAAUGAAUGCCUUCAUACGAGCUUUCCACUAGGCAUAAUUUAAAUAUACUACCAGAAGUAAGGCUCAUGAUACUUAACUUCCUUUUUUCAUUGGUUUCAUAACUAUAGAUACACUACAAUAUUGUCUUUAAACAUCUUAUGAAGCCAGGCUUUGAUACUAAUUGAAACCAAAAUUAAUCUACAUAUAUGAAAAGUUUAACUAUGUUCAAAAUUCAUUGCAGUAGGAAAUAGAACGGAAGUUGUGAACUUGCAAAAGAAAAAAGUAAGAGGAAUAAGAAACAACGAAACCAAGUUUUUUUAACACAGUUCAGACACAACUGUCCUAUGUCUACAAAUCUUUGCUUAGGAUAUACUCUUAUUAAUUCAACUAAAUCAAUCAAGCGAAACAAUAUGCCUCUAUUGGCUAAAGCCUAUAACCCCUUUGCAAGCCAAGUUCAUCCAGCCCCAAUAGAGAACAAUACCAUAAUCAACAUACACUAAAGAUAACUCUCAUCUCUACUUAAGAGAAUUCAUCAACAAAUAGAGAAGAAUAUAAAAUGUUCAACACAAGAAAAAUAAACAAAGCUAGUGUAGAUUUCCAUCUCUCCGAGUCAUGUAGCUCUAAGGGAAUGAGACACAAAUUUAAUGUGUUGAUCAGCAACUUGUUAUCACAAGAUAAACUUCAAUAAAAUGAUAGAUAAGUCCCUUGAAAAAUCCUUUGCAUAAAUUAGAUAAAAUUCUUUGAUUAAUCAUUCAACAACUAAAAAAAUAAGGAUAAGGCUUCAAUUCUUAUCCAAUAGAACACAUAAUUUCAUCAAUAUAAUCGAUUAAAGAGCUAAAGAGUCCUAGUAAAAAAUUAGCUCUUGUUUUUUUAAACAUGACAUCCCUUUGUAGGCCAAGAAUGUCAAGAAUCCAUGAGGCCGAAACAACCCACAACCCAAGCAUAAAUUGUUCUCAUUCGAACAAAACAUGGUACAAGCAAGCAAAAAACUCUAACAAUUUUUUUAGAGUUGAUGAAAGGAAAUUAAAUGAAAAUUUUGAAGAAAUUUUUGGGCUUUUUUAUAUAAAUUUUAUGGAGUCUUGUUAAAAAGAAAUUAAUUUUAGGGGUUUUUAAAAAAUAAAUUUAUUUGAAAAAGGAAAAAAAAUGGAUUUAUUUCUUAAAUACCCCCAAAUUUUUUUGUCAAAAGUCAACAAAAUGACAUGUGCCGCUUUUUGAAUCGACAACAUGUCAUGUCAUCAGCAAAUUUGACAUCGUCAGGGAUAGGUAUCGGAAUGUUAACAAAAUUAAAGUAUAAGUACCAAAUUAGAUAUUUUGAAACCGUAAAUACCACAUUAGAAUAAAGUACAAGGACUAUUUUUGUUAUUAUCCCUAAAAAAUGAUUAAAAAACUAAACUUGUUAAAAAAAUUCUAUUACAAUAAAAAAUUAGUAGAAUAUAUUUUUAAAUAAUAUUACAUUAUGUGGAUCAAAUACUUAUUCCUACUAGAACUGAAUAUAAUAAUGUAACAUACAGUUAGGGCUAGUUUGACAAUUCUUUUGAAAAGUGCUGUGAAAAAAGUGCUUUUGAUAAGUGCUUUUGAAAAGUUUGGUUGGCCUUGUUCUUCAUUGCUUUUGGGAUGAACUUUUUCCUAAAAAAGUUCUUUUAUCUCAAAAGCAAUGAAGAACAACUAUUUGUUUGACAACUUUUUUAACUUAAUUUAAGGCCUUUUUUACAGAUGAAAAAGCCAUUUAUUUUAGCUUUUCCAAGCUUGAAGUUCAUUUGGGUUGGUAUUUUACCGUUUUAACCUAUCUCCUUCACGGUAGAACUUUUCCAAUUCUUUGUCUGAAAUUGUUCUCUGUAUCUUCUCUUCUCCACUGGUACUCUAUCUUUUUCUUCUCUUCUUUUUCUAAUUUUUCAUUAUGCUUUAGUUUUUAUUUUCUGAUUGUUUGAUUUUAUGAAAUAAUUAUGAAAUAUACUCUAAUAUUUUAUCGUUUUAAUAUUUUAAUAUAAUUUAUAUAUUCGAAUUAAAUUUAAUAAAUAAUUAAUAUUAAUUACUUAGAAAUAUUUAAAAUUAAUAUUAUAUAUUAAUUUUUUAACAAUAAGUUAUAAUAAAUUAUUUUAUAUUAUUGCUAAAAUAUCAUAAUUUUAACUAAUUUAAACAUUAUUUAAAUACAUAUUUGCUACUUUAUAAUAUCAUGUUUAAAAUUGACAUUUUAUUCCCGAAAAACACUUUUUAACAGCAAUACCAAACACCUAAAAUUUUCAAAAGCACUUCUCAAAAACACUUUUCCACAACACUUUUUAAAAGCACAUUUCAAAAGUAUUACCAAAUACACCCUUAAAAUUUGAGUGUUUAGCAUUGCUGUUAAAAAGUGCUUUUAAGAAAUAAAAUGUCAAUUUUAGACAUGUUAUUAUAAAGUAACAAAUAUGCAUUUAAAUAAUAUUUAAAUUAGUUAAUAUUAUUAUAUUUUAGUAAGAAUAUAAAAAAAUUAUUAUAACUUCUUGUUAAUAUUUUAAUAUAUAAAAUAUAAAUUUUAAAUAUUUUUAAGAAAUAAAUAUUAAUUAUUUAUAAAAUUUAAUUAGAAUAUAUCAAUUAUAUUUUAAAUAUUUAAAUAUAACUAUUAAAUAUUUGUAAUUAAUAUUUUAAAAAAUAUUUUUUUAUUUUUAACUAAUGAGUUUAACACAUUUGUAAUUAAGUACCAAGAAAAAAAAAGAGAAAGUACAAUGUUAUUGGAGGGGUGAAAAAGUAAUUAAGCAUUAAAAGUGCUUUUGGGAGAGAAAAAACUAAAAAUUUUAGCUUCUCCUUUUCAGAAGUAUUUUUCAAAAGCACUCCUAAAAAGUUAAAAAUUUCAGCCAAAAGCAACUUAUUCUGUACAGCUUUUCUUCUAGAAAUACUUUUAGAGUCAAAAGUACUUUUGAAAAACAAUGCAGAACUGGCACUUAGUAAUUUUGUUACAAACUUAAUCUUACAUAUUUUUUAAACAAAUGUCUUCUAUGAGUAAAUAAUUUUUACAAACCAAACAUUAAAAUAACUUUUUAGCUAAUUAAAUCCGGAAGUUUUAUGGUAUUAAACAGGGUAAAGUAAAAUAAAUACAACACAAAUUUUAUGUAAAGAAAUUAAGUAUAAUCCAUUAGAAAAGUGUGUUCCUAGCUUUUUCGAUCUCAAACUAUAUUCUGAAGAUGUGAUAUCAGCUUAAAUAAAAUAGAACUAAUGUAAUCCGUCAGCAACAUUUCGAGUAUUGGAUAAGGGAUAAGAUUCCACAGAUUGAUGCAUCCAAUCACAAAUCUGCAAAAUUAACACCUCAGCCACCUCAACCACACAUUCUUGCAUCCGAUAAUCGGAAAAUCUCUUUCUCUCACUCUAUUUUGGCUUCGUAUUAUUUGUACAUAUUUCUAUUUCCCACUCUCUUUUUUGCUUUCAGUUAACAACAAAAUCCGUAAAUGGCUACCACUGCUUCUCCAAUGGCGACUCAGCUGAAGAGCAGCUUUAGGUCGUCUGUUACAAGAGGACUGGUAGUCCCCAGGGGCAUUUCGGGAUCCCCGUUUAAAGUAUCUUCCGGAAAGACCAGGACCCCUUGCUUCACUGUCAAAGCUGUUCAAUCCGACAAGGUAAGCUAGCUAUGUCUGUCUGGUCACUGUUAGCUUAGCUAAGCUCGUCACUGCACUAAGUUUUUUUAUCACCCCCCCCCCUCUUCCGUCUCCUUUUGCAGUCAACAUUUCAAGUAAUCCAACCCAUCAACGGCGACCCCUUCAUUGGAAGCCUGGAGACUCCAAUCACCUCAAGCCCCUUAAUUGCAUGGUACCUUUCCAACCUCCCAGCCUAUAGGACGGCAGUGAACCCACUUCUGAGGGGAAUCGAAGUGGGUCUGGCUCACGGCUUCCUCCUGGUUGGUCCAUUCGUAAAGGCCGGCCCUCUAAGGAACACUGCGGUGGCGGGUCAAGCUGGGUCCUUAGCCGCUGCCGGUUUGGUUGUGAUCCUCAGCAUUUGCUUGACGAUGUAUGGCGUUGCGUCGUUCAAAGAAGGUGAGCCAUCGAUAGCACCGAGCCUAACCCUGACUGGGAGGAAGAAAGAGCCAGACCAGUUGCAAACGGCGGAUGGAUGGGCUAAGUUCACUGGAGGGUUCUUCUUUGGUGGAAUCUCUGGUGUCACUUGGGCUUACUUCCUCCUGUAUGUCCUUGACCUUCCUUACUACUUUAAGUAGAUCAUCAUUUGAUCUAUGUUUUACCUGGUCCCUUUUUUAAUGUAAAUCAUUGUAUUCAGGAUGAUCCUUUG